CUUCUUUCAUUUUCAAACUUAGCUAUUCAAACUUGUGCUCCUGCCAAAACCACAAAUGUCCUUUCUCCACCCACCCUGUUUCUAGAUUCUACUAUACUAGCAAAUAUGUGUGAGAACAUAUUUAAGGACCUGAACAAGUUAGUUCAAGUAAGGAACAAUCUGGUUCAUGAAGAUAACUAUGAAAAGCAAUGGAGGAGGUUGAAAGAAAGAGUGGAUUUUGUCUUGACUGGACUUCAAAGAUCAUCUCUUGAUGCUCAAGACACUUCUCAGAACAAACUCCAAGACUGGCUAAGAGGGAUUGUUUGUAACUUGCAAGAAGUUGAAGUCAGAAGAACUCUUGUGAAGACACCUUUAUUCCUUAUGGUAUUCACUCUAUGGAGCUGGAUCUAGCUUGGUUAUCUAAAAUAAAUGUCAAGAAAGCCUCACCAUAUUUGUCUUUGUUGCAAAGGAAUGCUAAACUAGAGAGUGAAAACAAGCAGCUGAAGAAAGAGCUUCUAGAUAAGAAACUAUUGAUGCUUGUAUACAAGACAUCUACAGAAGCAAAGCUUGAAGAAGCAAGGAUUAGAGAAGAGAAUUUGUUAAGAAGCCAUAAUGAUCUCAAGGAAAAAAUGAGGAAGUAAUCUGAGAACACAAAUAGGAAAUUCCAAGAAAUGAUGGAAAUGUUCCAAAAACAAGCCAAGCCUUAGUUGCACACAUUGUCUUUUAGCUUGUUUAGUUUUUACUCUUGAGUUUCUAUGUUUAUAUGCUUCUGAACCAUUUUUAGCUUCUGAAAUGUUUAUGUGUUUCUGAACUAAUAUUUUGCUUCUGAACUAAUUUUUUGCGCUUCUGAACUCAAUGAAUUUCUCACUAUGUUUUUCUCAUCUCUUACUUUUUGUCUUUAUAUUUUUCUUUAACUUUUGUUGAUGACAAAAGGGGGGUGGAUGUAUAGUAUUUAUGAUAGGCUCUGAGCCCCAUUAAUUUAAUUCUAAUCAAGUUAAAUUAAUAGAACAUUCUUCUUAUCUCUUAGUCUAUUUAAGGUGAGAUUAAUUCUGAUUGUUAUUUCGUUUUUAAAUGAUGAAUUUAAGCCUCGUUUGGACUGACUUAUUUUAAGCUUAUUGGAGCUUAUCUACUAACAUAAGCUCUUUCAAAUACGUUUGGGUAAAUAAUAAAAAUAGUUUAUACCAAUUUUAUAAGCCGCUUAUACCAUAUUUUCAUAAGCUUAUACGGAGCUUAUGGCCAAAUAUAUGUCACCCACUUCGAUUCUUGCUGUUCUCUUUUUUUCAAAGUCUAUAUUUUUUAUUUUAUUUAUUAUAUGUCUUUUGCGGUGGUGAUCAGUAUUUUACUUAUCUUUAUUAACACAAGUAUCUUCUUCUUCUUUUUCGCCAAAGCAUCUUUCUUUAUCUUUAUGUUAAUUUACUUUAAUUUAAUUUAUAUACAUUGUUUUUUUUUUAUAAAUAUUAAACUCUUUGUAAAAAAAACAUAUAUUGUUUUUUUUUUUAACAGAUCAAAAUAAAAUAUAUGACUACUGGUAUUUCUGUGUAAAUUACAACAAUCGUUCAACAUAAUGGAAAAAAAAAAUGUUAAACUCAUUCAAGUUCUACAACCAUUUUCUCAAAAUAAUUUACACAGAAAUACCAAAACUUUUGAGAAAUAUCGUGUCAAUAUAUAUAUAUAUAUAUGAGUAGGGAUAUAUUGACUCCAAGAAUAAGUCUAAAAAGUUACUCCACAUCCUCACCCUCCAUUUUAUCUAAAUUUAAUGAACUAAAUUUAUGUCUUAUUAUAAUAAUCAUCAUGUGAUCUCAUCUACCUAAUCAUUUUCACAAUAUUAAUUAUGAUUUCCUUCUUUAGAUUUAAUGAAUAUUAACAAUCCUGUGAUGAGCUUUCUUCUUUUACGUUACUAUACUAUGCUGUUACCACCAUUCAUAAAUCAUGUCUUGUCUUAAAUUUUUUUUUUUUAAAAAGACCAUAUCUUAAAAUUUUGAAUAUUUUCACAUAUGGCCUAUAGAACUCAUUCAAGUUCUACAAACAUAUUUCUAAUAGUUUCGUAUAUAUAUAAUAAAAUUAUGAAUAUCUUUCAAAAAAAUAAAAAAUAAUUAUGAAUAUAUUUUAAUACUGUUCUUAUAAAGCUUUUUAGUCGUGGUUUGUUUCUUUAAUUUUUAAAUUAAAACUAUUUUAAUAUUUUAUAAUUGUUUAUGUAGUAACACAUCCAAACAUAAAGAGCUUAUUGAGUAUAAGAGCUUAUGAUGUAAGCUCUAGUCUAUAAGUUUUAAUGCUAUAAGCAUCUCUAUAAGCUAUUUAUCCAAACGGGGCCUUAAUUAACAUGGAUAGAACUCAGGGGGAGCUUACAAACCUCAUACCCUUAAAGUUAACUUGUUAAUUAAAUUAACAACAAUUGAACAUUUUUAAAUACUAAGUGUUUGUCACCAUCAAAAAUGGGGAGAUUGUUGGAACAAAAUGUGUUUAACAUUACCCUUUAAGAGUUUUGAUGAUAACAAGGUAUUAAAAAUUAUCAAUUGGAUACGCGAAUAUUUGUUCAAGUGUGCAGGACCAAAUACAAGGUUAAGUAUAUUUUGUUGGUUCUGGAAGAACAAAUUAAGAGCAAUGGAAUCAACAAAAAGAAAGCUUGAAGCGUAUGAAGAAAAGUGAUUAUGAAGUCAAGUUCUCAUGAAAUGAUGACGUCAUCAGAAGCAAGUUGAUCAGAAGUUGUCUUUCAUCAGGAUCGGAAGAUCAUCAGAAGAUAAAAGAGUUAAUGCUUCAAAGACUGUUCAAAGGAUAUAAUCACGUCUAGCAUUGCAAGAAGACCAGAAGAGUGAAGCAACAACUAUUUUGAAAGAAUUUGAAGGCAUUAGAUGCUUAUUUUUUGAAGAGCGUUGAAAAACUACAAUUGUACGAAGUGUACAACCACUAUCUCCACUACUCUGUUUUGUGUCUGUAAUAAGACAAGAAUAACAUCUAUGUUUGCAACGAUGUUCCUCCAGACUUGGAAUGGAUUUGAAAUUGAUCCUUCAUAGGACAAUUAACAAAUCAUACAAAAGAUCAUUGGUGAUUUAAUCAAACUUCAAACGACUCUAUUUUGAUGUGUUGACAAUUCACAACGUCUCUUUCACACCUCUAUAUAAAGGGGUGAAGACUUAGAGAAUGGCAAGGACUCUACAACAAUUUGAAAGCGCCAAAACUCUGCUGAAAUUGUUCUGCAAGCAAAGUUCACUUAAAAUUUCUUAACAAAGUUAAUAUCUUNNNNNNNNNNNNNNNNNNNNNNNNNNNNNNNNNNNNNNNNNNNNNNNNNNNNNNNNNNNNNNNNNNNNNNNNNNNNNNNNNNNNNNNNNNNNNNNNNNNNAAAGUGAAGGGGUGGUGGAAUGCUAUGAAAUGUAUGACACAUGAGAUGAAAUGGUUAGUAAUCACAAAGCACAAAAUAGUAGGAAAUAAACAAAAAGGAAAUUGCAUAGGAAAAGCAAGAGAAAGUAAUAAAGUGGUAACAAACCUAAAAAAUUUGAUAUGAUACCUAAAGGUACUUGUAACCCAUAAUCAUCACAUCAUAGCAAUUUUGAAAGAGAUUUUGUUUCAAGCCAUGACAUGAAAUUAAUAGAGAUACAUGCAAGCAAAGUAUCACACCAAAUUCAUAGAGGAAUUUGACACUUCAUUCCUUAAGACACACACUUGUUGCUUGCAAGACAAGAAAUUUACCAAAUCAUACCCAAAAACCAGCAAGAAAGCACAUGACCAGAGGCAUAUUCAUCAUAAGAUUGGGUAUCAUUUAUUCAUGUCACACAUCAAAGUGUCAAGAACAAAAACAUAACCAAAAUAAUACCCAAAAAUGUAAACACACAUGGAAAUUAGUUCAUGCCGUUUUACCAUUUUUUUUAUGCAAAAAUACCAUAGAAAUACCAAAAAUAUAUCAAGAAACAACUAGGAUUUUUUAGGAAUUUUUUGUAAAAAAGGUGAGCAAGCAACAGGUGCAGAUAGCAAAGACAUAUGGUGCAGAUAGCAGGAAAAUAACAAAAAACCGUAAAAAACCUAAGCCCAAACCAAAGCCCAACACACAAAACUCAGAUUGCACAGGAGACGUUGGAUCAAUCUAGAGGUUGAGAAAGAAAGGGAAGAACCGAAAAUAAACCGGACCGGUUCAACUUUCUAUAUAUAUGCUUCUAAUCUGGUUUUUUUUUCACUUUUUCCUCUUCCUUCUCUCUCUUCUCUCCUCUAGUGAGAGAAGCUCUCACUUCUCUCUAAGAUUUCCGGUCAUCUUCUCCGGUUAACUUCUCCGUUCCGGCGCGGCGGAUGGCGGCGGCGCCACCGUGCCGGAAAAUCAAACUGCUCCGAUUCGAGAAAUUUUUACAUUUUUAGAUAUCCUUUUUUAUAUACUUCUCGAAUCCGAACUUAGAUUUUUCAAAAAAAGCUUGAAUCGGAGUAGAUCUGAGUUUGAAUCUUGAUGAAAUUUUUGUAAAAGAAACGGUAGAAAAAGGAAGAGAAACGAACGAAGAGGAUGCUUACCUCUUCUUGCUUUCUGUUACGGCCCUUGCUGCUUGUGCUUCGCGUGCUUGCUCGCGUCUUUGCUUGCUUGCGCGCGUGUUUGCUUGCUUGUUUGCUUGCUUGCACGCGUGUUUGCUUGCGUGCGCGUUUGCUUGCGUGCGCGUUUGAUUGCUCUUUUGCUUGCUGUUUCUUUGGUUCUGUUUUCUUCUUCUUCCUCUGUGCAGAUUCGGUUUUCCUUCUUUUUUCCCUACCGUGAUCGGUGCUUGAGUUCUUCACUUCCGGUGAGGAAUUCGCACCUUGUAUUGCGGUGGAAUCGAUUCAAUGAUGAAGAUUCGUACACGAAUCUCUGAGAAUUGAUGAUGAAUUUCAGUUAGGGUUCUUUGUGUUCUUGAGGAAUUUUUGCUUUUGAUCUAACAGAAAAGAGAGAGAAAAUGGGAAUUUGUUUUUGGUGAUGUGUAUUGUAAUGAGUGGAUCUCAUCUAUGUGGCACUGUGAACAGUAUUUAUAGCUGACAUGUGUGAGUGAUUGGACCAUUAGAAAGCUGACAUGUGGCAUUGGAAAAAAAAAGAGGCGCUGCCUUGUAAUUUUUGACUUGAAGGACCUGUUUGCAAUUUUGAAAGAAAUAGGGACUGGACUGAAAAAAUAAAAGCAAGGACUGAAAUGAAAUAAAAAAACUUUUUGGACAAAAAUGCAAUUUUGGAACCUCAAUUGAGGGACCAAAAUGUAAUUGAAAUAAAAUUGAAUAAAAAACGCAAUUUGACCAAACGUAAAGCGAAACAAAAAUAAAAUCGACAAAACGGACUAAAACGAACCAAUGGCCUAAAUGAGGUACUUCAAAGUAACCUCUCUAUGCCGAAAUUUUGUGUGAAAUGACCAAAAUGCCCCUAGGGCUAAAAAUGACCUAAACAGAUUCAAAUUGACUUGACACUGACUCAGAUGCAAGUUUGAAAUGAAUUUAACAAGGUUUACUGAUGAAAUGUUAAAAAUCAAUCUGAAAAGACUCAGAGACAGUCACAAGGAUGAAAAUGGGUUCCACUGCAGGAAAUGACCAAAAUACCCUUCUGUACGACUUUUUGCAAAUUUUGAAAUAAACUGUAGAAAAAGCAAUGUAAUGAUUCAGAGACACUUUUGAAUGACUUACAAGACAAGUAAAGACAUUUCGAAAGGUUUUAUGCAAGAAAAACAUAGGUAAGAUUGUGAUUGAAAAUACUGCGAGGCAGAGACAAUUUGAACUGUGCAGUUGAAAUUUGAUAAUUGGCAAAGUUUGAAAUGAAAUCGGGCCCAGUAUUUUUAGGUCCAAAAACAGGGUAUAACAUAACGUAAUGACUACUGUCAUCAAUUUAUGUUUAAUAAAAUUAUUGAAUUAAAAAUAGUUAUGAAAAUGUAUUCUUAAUAUUAAGUUUCCAAACAAGUUUUUUCAUUUUUCAUCUUUAAAACAGUUUUUGAAAAUAUAAUUCCCAAAUAGAUUUUUUUCUUCUUCUUAAAAAUAGGUUUUAAAAACAGAUUUAUGAAACAGUUUCCAAAAACGAAAAGCAAAACACAACCAACAACACCUUAGUCUUAUGUUUUUUUUUCUUUUUGGUACAAGAGAGGGCCGAAGCCCACCCUUAGUUUUAUGUUUUAUAGGUAAUACUCCUAACCUUUAUACAAAAACUGAUGAUUCAAACUUUAAAUUCUCCUAACAACCAUAGUGUGAACAUAAAAGUCUAACCAUUGAUCAUAAAAGAAAAAACAUUAUGCAAAUUAAAUAUAAUUGAUAUUAAUCUUUAAAAUAUCUACGAAGUAAAUAUAUAAUUUUUUUAGAGUAGGUAAAAUAUAUAAUUGGAUAUGGAUAACGUGUAAAAUAUAUAAUUGUUUUUAGAGUGGAAAAUAUGAUGGUAUAUGGUAUUAUGUCUAAACUUUUGGGUCCCAAUAAUUAUUAAUUUACCGGUACUUAAAAUAUGAAUUUUUUAUUCUACUCGUUUGUACAUAUUAAGAUAUUUAUAUGUAUAGAUUUGUGGUAAAAAUUUUUUUAGAUAUAUACCAUCCAUAUAUAAUUUUGGUCCUCCUUAACUAUGUGUCUAAUCCGGAUAACGUUGAAUAAAUACACUAGUAGUUAUAAUUAAAGACUUUUGAAGGUAAAGGCUUCUUAUUUAUGAUAAAUCUAUACCAUUGAUUUAAAUACGCGAUUAUUAAUUUUAAAUUGAAAGACUACAACUAGUUUAGUUCUUUUUUUUUUUUGUACACGUGUGACUAAUUGCAAUAAAAGUAGUCUUGUUUUACAAUGCAUGGAUCCUGAUCACAUAAAACUCUUAGUCUAUUGUUUUAUAGGUAAUACUUCUAGCCGAGUUAAGAUCAUCUCCAUUUAUUAUCCACUUCAUUUUUACAAUUCGGAGAGAUAAUGACAUAAUUUUUUUUAAAAAGUAAUUAAUGAUGAUGGAACCCACUUAAUGGUAGGAUCCACUAUCUAUUUUAUAUGUUUAUCUCUCUCCAAAUUGCAUAUUCCAUUUAUUUUGCUAAAUCGAGAAGAUUCUUACCCCUCCUAGCCUUUAUACAAAAACUGAUGAUUCAAACUUUAAAUUCUCCUAACAACCAUAGUGUGAACAUAAAAGUCUGUCCGUUGAUCAUAAUAGAAAAAACAUUAUGCAAUUUAAAUAUAAUUGAAGUUUUUCUUUAAAAUAUCGACAAAGUAAAUAUAUCAUUUUUUUUAGAGUGGUAAAAUAUAUAAUUGGAUAACGUGUAAAAUAUAAAUCGAAGUUGUCUUUCAAAUUAUUAUUUCUCACAUAAAAUGUAAAAGUUUCUAAGUAUAACUGAAUUGAUAGACACGUCACAUUAAUAUGUAUGUACUGAUUGAUAUUUAAACCAUUAGAGGUGUUUACUUGGACUUGGCGGUGGUGGUUACAAUCUUUGGUGGUCUCGACUCUCAAUGAAUUUUAUGGGUGGAGAGUUUGUUUUUUGAGAUCAGGGUGUUGACAAGGGUGUUAGUCAUAAUUAAUGCUUGAGGGUGCUGAUGAAGGGGAGGCAUAACUGUAUGUCAAUUGGCGGUGUGACUUCUUUUGGAGGUCGCCUCCAUUAUUCAGGUUGAUAUCCGUCGUCGCUAGCUCUUGUUUGAGUAUUGGAUUGUUAAGGUGUUUUGGGUGCUUUGAGCGUGCGUGUCCUUCAAACUAAGCCUUUUCCUUUUUGAUUUGAUUGAUGUUUGUACCAUUGCAAAUCAUGUCUAUUGUCUUACAAAAUUGUCUGCUAGAUUCUGGUGGGCCAAUUACUUUUGGUUUCGAGAUAGGGAGUUGGUGUUUAGUUGCAAUCUUGUUUGGCUGACUAUAGUGUUUCUCUGGUGAACCGGAGGUGAGGGGUGCCCUUCUGAUUAGACCCAGAUGUCUGGUGAACCAAUCACUUUUGAUUCGAGAUCGUCAAUCAGUUCUUUAGUUCAAGUUCGUGCCUCUCUUUCCUUAUUUUUAUUUUAUGAAUCCGUAACAACCAAAGUAUGAACACAUAUAAGGGGAUGAUGGUAUAUACUAUUAUGUCAAACAAAAAACGUAUAUACUAUAUACUUAAUUAGAAGAAUUUUGUCAAAUAAAAAUGUUAAUUGGAAGAAUAGACAUAAAAAAUAAAAAAGUCUACUAGACUAAUGUAAGGAAUUACCCCAUUAAUUAGUUGGAUCCGUUGGCUUAUAAAAGGGCAUAAGAGUUGGUCAUUCCAACCACAACCAAUCAAACACACAAAAAGCACUUAUCUAUCUAUCUAUCUAUCUAUCUAUCUAUCAUAAUGUCCCAUACUCAUCAGAUCAAUGCUGUUGUGAAGCCAAUCAUUUUUCGCGAAUACAUUGGUGUGAAAGAUAUCCCAAAAAAUUUAAAGGAUUUUCCAGCUGAGAUGAUCAACGACGACAUCGAAGAAUUCCAUUUUAUUUUGGGCACUCUGAGGGAGGUGUAUAGUGGAGAUGGAAAAGGCAAGGGAGAAUUCUAUCGGACUUGGAAUUUUAAUAAUUUCAGUCCAGCAAAAGUGGCGAAGCUGAAGAAAGAUCAUAAGAAUGUUAAGGUGAUAAUAAGCAUUGGAGGGUUUGGCGCUGAAAAUCCAUUCAAUCCCAAAGAGAUUGAAUCAUGGAGUACCAAGGCGAAACAAUCGAUCAAAAAGCUCAUCAAUGAAUACCAAGAGUACUCAAAGGAUAGCAGCAGCACCGACGAGUGCCAUUGCGAUGACAUAAUUGAUGGUAUUGAUAUUAACUAUGAGUACAGCAAUUGCAAUCCGGAUGAGUUUUCUUCCUGCAUAGGAGAACUCAUAAGAAAACUCAAGAAGAGUUCCAAAUCCAUAAAACUGGUGUCCAUUGCUCCAACAGAGCUUCUCAAACCCCACUACCAUAAAUUGUAUUGGGCCAACAAAGACAUAAUUAACUGGGUUGACUACAAGUUCUACAAUCAGACUGUGUCCAGCGCGGAUGAAUUGGUAAAUCUCUAUAAUAAGUUGCUUAAUGAAUACGGUACUGAUGUUAAACUCUUGCCAGGAGUCAGCACUGAUCCAGAUAGUAACACUAACAUGACACGAGAUGUCUUCAUUAAGGGUUGCAAAUCCCUCCUCGAAAGCGAAUCACUCCCUGGUAUUUUUGUUUGGAACGCUAAUGAUUCUGCCAUGCCCUCCAACGAAGACAAUACUCCUUACUUCCUAGAGGAAGUCCUACAAGACCUCCUUACUGAUAAUUGAAUGAAUCACAUUACAACAAACUACACUACGUUGGUACCUCCUCAAAAUAUAUAAGACCUAUUAUUCCUAUUGUCGUGUGCUCUAUUAUUAUGCUAUGUUGUGUGUGGAUAUUUAAUAGCUUCUCUUGUAUUGUAUUAAAUAAUAAGAAGCAAUUAUAUCCUUUUCCUAUCUUAAAAGACUUUAAUUUGUCUCAUCUCAUGUGUACAACUUAAAUAGUCUUUCACCAUGUACAAGUGUGUUUUUUCCCAUUCUAUUAAUAAAUACCAUCAUAUUUCCUUUAAUUACUAUGCUGUUUAUUUUCUUACUUUGCUUCACAUAUAUUUCACAAUUUUAAGUUUCAAGAUUUGAGAAAGUUUAGAGCUAGAAUUUUUGAAAAUAAUUAGAAAAGAUUUGUAAAUGUCACUACUAGAGAAAUUCUUUUCAAAUUCAAUUUUAUCACAAUUAAACUUCAAUUAAAUUUCAAAUCAUUUAUUCAUAUACUUUGUGUUUCGUAGUGUUAGUUUGGUUUACUGCAUUUAGGUUUGGUUCAAGCUUGUCUAGUUAUGUAAAUUGUAUUGUUGAUUAUUGAUAUUUAAUGUACUUAUUAAGAUUCAACAUUUGAACCUCUCAAUUCAAUAUUGAAUCUCGAGUGUUUUAAUCAUUGUCUUAAUUUUUGUUAUUGUUAUCUUGCACUAAUUCGAAAAGUCAUACGUUUUCUAAUCACGCUUUCACUAAACUCUUUUGAAAAAUACUAAUCACCCCCCCCCCCUCCUAACGCACCUUUUUGUUCGCCAUAUAGACCAACCAUAAAGCCCUUAAAGUUUGAUGAUAACAAGACAAUAUACGGAGCAUAUUUGAGAAAAAUUAGGAUAAACUAAUAUGUGUCUAAGUGUGCGAGAAAUUCUAAGUACAAAAGUAAUAUAUUGCUUCUGGACAAGAAGUCAAAGCACUAGACAGAAAUCCAAAUAUCUGGACCAAGUCAGAGCUCUGAUUAUGAUUGUUAUCGCGAUUUUCGGGUGUCAAGUCAUUAAUUUGGCUUGAACCUUUCAAUCUUUGAUAUUCUCUANNNNNNNNNNNNNNNNNNNNNNNNNNNNNNNNNNNNNNNNNNNNNNNNNNNNNNNNNNNNNNNNNNNNNNNNNNNNNNNNNNNNNNNNNNNNNNNNNNNNAAAACUCUUAGAGCCUGUUUGAUUCACUUCUCAAAAUCUGUUUUUUAGUUUUUAAAAAUUAAAAACUACAAAAUUUUUUUUGCAAACUAUUUUAUAAUUAUAACAUGUAAUUUUUAAAACUAAUUUCAGUUUUUUUGUUUUAAUUUUAGAGUUUUUGAAAAGUUUAAAAAGGCGGACUAGUGUUAAGUUUUCAUUAAUGGCACCUUUGGUAAUUAUAACAACAUUUUUUCGUUGCCAGCAUUUUUUUUAAACAAGAAUGUAAAUCAUACAUACUUUAGAAAAAAAUAGUCUCUAGCCAUACAUUUUUCUUGAAUAAACAAGGCAUAAACUUCAUUUUACACCGUAGAAAAAUAUUUGGGACCAACAUUUUUCAAAAUUGUUUGUUUAAUGAUUUCCAACUUUCUCUAAUUCAUCUUACACUAAAUUGUUUUACCAUUUUGAAAUAAUUCAGAUAAUAAAAUUUUAUUCCAAUAAUUUUAUUUAUUUAUCUGCUACUAUUUGAAUUAUCACAUAGUGUUUGAGUUCUUUUCACGUAUUGCUAAACAUUGGUUUUUGUUCAAUUCCAGUUCCAAUUCAAGCAUCAAGUAACAAUUUCGUGGGUUCUUCAAUAAUUGGGUUCUCCAAUCACGUAAGCUUUCCCUCAAUUUAUUAAUUUGUGUGCUGAUUGCACUUGGAAUCGUGCUAUUGGAAAUUCACCAAUUCACGUUCUUCAAGACUUAAUUGGUGUCAAGCUUAGGCAUGGCAUACAUGUGUUUUGCAGCUGUUUUGGGAGGCAAAAAUUCUACUACUAAUACUGAAACUGAUCCGUUACCGACUCCUUGCAGCAAAGGAGAUGCGCUGAGUAUUCGAAUUGGCCAGGAUGAAUAUCAGCAUGGUUUGGCUGAUUGCUAGAAUGCAUUGAGAGCUAGACUGACCUUGCGCAAAGGGGACAAACCAUAUACAGCAAGGGACUUGAGCACAAAAUUAGGCACGUUUUGGGAAACUACUGCUUAGUGGAAGAUGGUACCGCGUGGCAAGGGCUACUAUGAUUUCCACUUUGAUUUGGCGGAUGAUUUACGUAAAAUUUGGGCAGCAGGCACCAUAAACCUUAAACUAGGUUUGCUUCGUUUCUCUAAGUGGACCAAGGACUUCAAUUAUAACUCUCAAAAGCAGACGGACGCAUUGCUUUAGAUACGUUUGGUUGAGUUACCGCAUGAGUAUUGGCGGGAAAGAACUUUGAAAGAAAUUGAAAGUGCGGUUGGCAACUCCUAUUGAUUUAGAUGGUCCGACACGCAACCGCUCUUUUGGCCAUUACGCAAGAAUAUUGGUGGAUUUUGACUUAUCAAAGAGGGCAUAUGACGAAAUUCUUGUGGAAAGGGAAGGAUUUGCCUUCAAGGUUGAAGUCCAGUAUGAACGACGACCUCUUUUCUACCAUCAUUGUUACUAUAUUGGACAUAAUGUUACUACAUGUCGAUGGUUGCACCCACAUGAAGCAAAGGAGAAGCAAGAUCUUGGGAAACAACCAGUGGCUGCCGAAGCUGAUCACCCUAGACAUGCACAGGUGCGCCACGGUGAUGUUGGUUCCUCCUCUUCGACCAAGGGUGGUACUUUGACUUGGGUUCCAGUUGUUGUUGCCUCUACAACAAUGGUUGCUCCUACAUAGAUGAUUGUUAUCGAGCUCAUUCAGACUUUGUCAUACAACUCUUUCAGUUUUGUUCUUUAUAAUGUUAAUGAUCAUAUUCCUCAAGGAGAGUUGCCUCGUCCGGGUAGCCCGGUGUUGGGUGUUGUUUCAUCAUUAGCGCACGAUGACAUGCAUUCCGAUGAAGUGGAGCAAUUGCAUUGAUUCCGAGAGAGGUGAUAGAGAACACCAAGGUUUCUUAUGCUACUGUUGCACUUUCUGAUGUUGUGGAACAGGAACAAUCGCAACCACGGGGCUGGUGGAGAGUCCCAAGGUUUUGGAUGCGACUGCAACAAAUUUAUCCCCUUUAGCAUAGAAUGACGUUCUAGAGAGCUAUUUUGAAUUGGUUUCUUCCGCAGGUAUGGAGUUGGCACCGGUUCAUACGGAUCAUCAUGUUGUAGAGCAUGAUGACGUGCAUUCUAGUUCCCCAACUGGCCCUUUCAGAACUUCGUUUUUGGAAACAGUAAUUGAGGAGAGGUCUUAGAUUGAGUCUUUUGUGCAAGAUGCAGCCCCUGAUAGUUUGGCGCAAACAACACAUGAAGUCGUUCACAGUAAUCCGAGAAUUCAGCACGACAUGGAAUUAUGGCGCCAUAUUCGUGAAUAUGAUUAAAAGUCAGUUGAAGAAAACUAUUGUUGGUAAGCCAUACAAAACUCGCUCUAGGGGUGAUGCUUCUCCAACUGAUCAUUGAUUUAAAAAAAAAAAUUUUUGUCUCAUUUGUUUUGACUGAUGAUAAGUUGGCUAAUAUGGGUCCCUCGUCCCAUGUGGCGGUGUGGUUGUCAGUUCUUCCCCCUGACUUGCAGACGAAUUUUUAUUCAGACCGUUGUGGUAUGCCUCGUUAUAGGUUUCCCUACGUGGUUGUUUUCUUUCUGUUUCCGUUUUUUCUUCUGUUUUUUUGAGGGUUUUGGUCUAGUCCCCUCCUCUUGUAGCUUUUCCACCCUAUUUUUAAUAAUAUUUUGAGUUUGGCAGUAGAGGAUGGGGGUUUAUCGGGAUGCCAACCUAGUUUGGAUGUCGACGUUUCCCCUUGAUAUCGGUCAUUUCUCCUGGUUUAGCGAAAAUUUUAUUUAUUUAUUUCAAUUUAAAAUUAGGGAUGACAAUUGGACUCAUACAUUGAAUAUAUACAAAAUCAAAGAAAUUUAUUUAUUUAUUACUAUUUAAAAUCAAAGAAAUUUUAUGAUUUAUGAUAGAUUUUUAGCAAGUGCACUAAAACUAUCGAAGUAAUAAAAUAAGUUCGUAUCCACGAGGACUAUGUUAAUUUCAACUUAGCAAUAAAGUUAAUAUCUAGGAUGUGUAAAUUUUAGAAGUGCCUAAGGCAGUAGGUUUGUGUGUAACAAAAGUAAGUGAAAGUUGUUUGAAAGAUGAUUGGUGAUGAAUGAUUAAGCCGAUGAAUCCCCUAUUGUUCUAUAUGAGUAGUUUACCUCCCUUUCUUAGUAAUUACUAUUUAUUCUUUACGAUAAAUUAACUAAGUAGUUUUGAUCAAUCUCUUGACUCGAAACCCUUUCCUAAGUUAUAACCUUUUAAUCUCUUAAACCGAUUGAAUAACUGCGGAAGAGAUGUCAGAACAUUAAUUCAUAUGUCAUGAUUCUCAAUUUCCUAUCUCUAGGUUCCUAGUCAUUCAAUUCCUAAUAUCAAUUCAUGUAAUUUCAAGGAAGUUAGGGUUAAUAGUCAUACAAGCAAUUAUAUAAAAACAAUGAACACAAAUAAUUCUAAAUAAAGACUGAAUAACAUUAAUAAUAAAGAGAGUAUCAACUUCUAAUUCAUAUAUUACAAAGGUUCAUCAUGGCUCAAUGAAACUAAGAAUUUAACUAGACAUGAUCAAAUAAAUAAACAACAUAGUAAAGAAAAUAAACCGAUAGAGUUUCGUCGUUGAUGACUUUGCUCCUCAAUUCUUUCUCAAUCGCUAUUGUUGAUGUUUCUUUUCAUAUCAUGUGCCUCACUUCUUGUCCCGAUCUUCGUGCCUUUUCAAAACCAAAGGGAUAUCGCCCCUCUGUUCCAAACCGCCAGUGUGCUUCCUUUUGUGUGUUACUUCUUUUUAUAUAAAUCAUGUUACCUUCCACUUGUUGCCAACGUACACACACACAAAGCCAAUUGUUUUUUUUAAUCUUUCUAUUAUUCACACCACCCAAAAGCAAAACACUUGUUCUCAUCCAAUUAAUUCAUAUGUGGCAGUAACUUUAUUUAAUCAUCGUGGCACGUUUCGUGGUUCAUCGUGCCACAAAAUUUCCAGAACGUAUAAGUGAAUUCUGAGUCCUUGCAACAUGCCAUGAUCCUUGCUCAACGUGGCACGAUUCUUAGGCAAAUUUCUCUCUUUUCACCAAUUUCUUCUUUUGAGCUCUUGUUCCGUUUUUUAUCUGAUCUCACCAUGAAUUACAAGUAAUUGACUCUCUAAAUGCCAUAAAAAUACCAUAAAAAGACUAUAAAAAUAACGUGUUAUCAUGGUUUUUGGGUGCCAAGCCAUUUAAUUGGACUUGAACCUUUUGACCGUUGAUAUCUCUCUUUUUUCUUGGGAAGGGUAAACGGAGAAAAACCCUUAAAAAGUUCUAGAUUCGGGGGUCGUUUUCGCUAAGGGAAGGUGUUAGGCACCCGGAGCGAUUAUGGUACUCCAUAAGAGCCGUUCUCCUAAGUUCAUUUCUACGCUUUAUUUUUAUUGCUUAUUCGUAAAAAAGGAAGGUGUGAUUAGUUAAGAAUGGGGGGUGAGAAGAAGUAGAAUUUUGAUUUUUAUUUCGGCUUGGAUGAGUUUUGACUCAUUGCCUACGUACCGUUUUACGGGAUCAAAACCGUUCGUAGUUCAUUCUCAAAAAUGGUUUUUGUUUUUGUUGGUUGAUUUUAAGUUUGAAAAGAGGAAUUUUGGAAGAAUAGAGAUAAGAGGCCUCAAGGGCAUAAGAUUUGGGAAAAUGUGAGGUGGGAUUAGUCAUUUUGCUAAAUGAAGUCUAAAUAUGGUUAAGGUUCAUUAAAAGUUUUACUUAAGAAAAUAAAAGGGAAAUAAGGAGUUUUGACUCCUAUUUUAUUUUUGCAAAAAUAUUUUCAAGUGAGGUUAUUUGCAUAUUUUGGAAAAAAUUGGAUUUUCUCUAAGUGUUCAAAACUAAACGUUCGUCUAAUCAUGCAAUCCUAGCCAUACAUCUAUGCAUACAAUCCUAAGCAUACAUCUAGGGUGAGUGUGUGCGUGUCGGUGCGUCAUAGUGUCCAUAAUCCAAAUUACAAAAAUUGCCUAAAUACAUUCUAUGGCCCCUUUGCCAAGCUACAAACCAAUGAUAACAAAUUACAUCACCGAAUGAAUUAAAAUUUGCAAAAAUAAAUGCUAAGCUAAAGAAAGGGGAGGAGGUAGAGGAAUGCUAUGAAAUGUAUGACACAUGAGAUGAAAUAGUUAGUAAAAUGAAGCAAAGAAUAAAAGAAGUGCACACAAAAAAUAUUAAGAGGAAAGAUAUAAAAGAGACUAAUAAAGUGACAAAAUGUGCAUGAAAGUGGCCAUAAAACAAACUAAAUAAAUUCAGGCCUUGUAGUUUCACUCAGAAAUCUGUCUAUUCGCGUCCGGCAAAGAAUCUACAGACCUUUUACCAAUUAAAUGAUGAAGAAGCACACCUGUUGCUACACUAACAUUUAAGCUUUCCACAGCCAAAAAUGAAAGGAACUCUUUACCAGGGCUCUCGCGAUUUAAACCGGUACUUUCACCUUCUAAUUCAUCACCGGUACUUAAGUCUGAAGGAAUAUUACCAGCAAUUUUAACCAACUGNNNNNNNNNNNNNNNNNNNNNNNNNNNNNNNNNNNNNNNNNNNNNNNNNNNNNNNNNNNNNNNNNNNNNNNNNNNNNNNNNNNNNNNNNNNNNNNNNNNNAUCGUAGUCAGUAAACCAACCACAUAUUCCUGGAAUCUUGCCAAUUUUAGAUUUGCAAAAGUAAUUAUGACAACUAUCAUACCGUAGACCUGGUAUUUUGCUUGGUUUAUUUAAUAACAAAAAAUUGCAGGUUUAUUUCAUUGGUUUGAUGGUCUAGAUAAUAUAGAAAAAAUAAAAAAUAAAAAAUUACCAACAACUUAUUUGAAGUCACGUUAUUGUUUUUUAUUAAAUAAUUUUAAGUAAUAAUUUUGUCUUAUGUACCGAUAGUCACUUUUUUCUUAUGGGUUCAAAGUAUUCUUGUUUUUUAUAUAUUUGUGUUUGAUAAGGGCAGUUGAGAAAUAGGGGGAGAUGUGAAAGACUUUCAUUCGAAACAAGGGUCUUGUUGUAUAAAAAUAGCAAGUUGCCAAUGACUUUGGAAAAAGGGGAUUUUACGAUGUAGAUGCCUACUUUAUAAGUGCCCUUCCAAGAGGUCUUAGAGCUUCCACAAUGAUGGAUGCUACACCUAUUUAGCACCAGAAUUAAUAAACAUCUUUAUUGUAGAGGGAAAAUGUUUGGUGCUUAUAGAGAAGGGUGGUUAUAUAAGCACCCUCUCUUUAAUUUUCGUGGGCCAUAUGUAUAAAUUGUACACAAAUCAAUCAACUUUGAUGAAAUACAAUGGCAUUGAGUUAUUAAUAUGAUCUAUUUAUUAACUUUUUCUGAGGUGCGGGGUUGGAGAGAUUGGAUGUUUAUUAAGUAAUAUCAUUGAAAAUUAAAAAAAUAGAUGAUGUGUAUAUGCAUGACCCACUUAAACAUCCAAGAUUGAGUGUUCUAUUGUAGAUGAUCUUAGGAAUUAGUAAUAGGGUAAUGCCUUGAUUUAUUUUAUUAUAAUUUAUUUUAAAAAAUGAGUGUUAUUAUAAAUGAAGAUAAAUACCAACCUUAUAUACGUAAACCUUCCUAUUAUAUGAUCCUCCAGUAUCUUUGAACAAUGCUCCUUUAUCUUCAUUUAAGGACAUACUAGCCAUCAUCUUAUAAAAUUGUUGUUGACACAUCACUGUUGCUGAAAAACACUAGUAAAGUAUUAAAAUAUUUCUUCGGUAGUUAACUGCCGCAGAAGUUAACCGCCUGCAGUUAACUGCCGCAAAAGCUUCGGCAAUUAACUAUUGCAAAAACUUCGACAGUUAACUGCCGCGGAGUUUUAAACUUGAUAUUGUCAUUAUUAUUAUUUUUUACUGACCACUGAAAUUCCAUAUUUUUUUUCUAGUUUUCAGCCUCAAAAAUUGUGACUGCCAAAUUAAUUGUGUUUAAAUGUUAUUCACGUUUAUGAAUAUAAAGGGAAAAUGCAAUAAUUUACAUUAAUGAAUGGUUGAUCUUUGUGGAACGGUUACUUUUGUUUUUGGUGGUGUAUUUUUUGUUAUAACCGGUGCUUAUUUACUACUAGGAGAUAUAAUUUGCUAUAAAUUGGAUAAAUUGAAUUUCCUCGACAGUUGACUGGUGUUUGUCAGCCAACAGUGAUGUGUCAACAACAAUCUUCAUCAUCUUAAGCAUAGCGUCAGGGAUAGAAUUGACCCAAUCAUAGACCUCAUCAUGGGUUACUACAUAAUCUCGAGUAUUUUCUUUAUAUAUAAUAUAGAUAUUAAAUUUGUACUCUAUAAUUUUAAAUUUAACUCCAAAUCGAAAUAUAUGUAAAUGAAAUGUCAAACUAUUUUUGUGCAUUGCAAUUUAUUUUUUGAGAAAAAAAUAUUAAAACACAAUUAUUGAUCAAAACAACUUAGACACCAUAUGAUUCCUUCAAAAAAAAAAAAACUUAGACACCAUAUGUGGAAUAGAACUCAUCCAUGUUUAUUGCGCAAGAUAAUUUGAUAAUUUUAUCUCUUUCAUUUAAAAAGGGACAAUGAUGUCCUUACAUAUAAAAAGGGCAAUUAGAUCCUUAACAAUAAUUAGAAAAGAAAAUCAAGUCCCGUACAAUAUUUGAAAAUGGACAAUUUAGUCCCUUUGAUAACAAUUUUUUUUUUUGAACAAGCCUUUGAUAACAAAAUUAAUAAAUCUUUGUAAAGAGUUUUAAAUAAGAAAGACAGUAGUAUCCAAAAUCAACCACAAGGCAAUUACAAAAUCUAAAACUUAACUGAAUGAGUCUUGACUCGUAUAUUUUACUAGACAUUUUUCUAGAGGAAUUUUACUAGGCAUAUUUGUAUGACUAAUAAUAAAAAAGAAACCCUUGUACUAAUUACGAGCUCAUUUCCAUUUUAAAAUAAAGUUUAAAGGUGAUAGAUUGUUUGUUCAAAGCAACUUUUCACAUCACAAACAAUGAAAACACUAAGAAAUGGAGAAUGAUAGUUAUAUAACAUCACAACUUUUUCUAUUUAUUUUUUAUUAAUCUGAUGUGGCAAUUCUAAGAGUUUACAUUUAUAAAAUUGAUGUUCUGACUUUGAAACCUUCCUAAUGAACAUGGAAACUUCUAAAAAAAAAUCAGCAGUAGUUAACUACCGUUGAGGAAGCCGGCAGCAGUUAACUACCGCUAAAGUCAGCAGUUGUUAACUGCCGCUGCAUACUUGGUUAAAUUUCCAGCCACUUUCUCCUUCCCUUUUUAAACAAAAUUUUUCACUCUUUUUCAUCCAAUUUCAAAUUCAUGAAUAUAAAAUGUAUGGAAUAAUAUUUAACAUGAUAAAAUUAAUACGCAAGAAAUAAUAUAAAAGGUAUGUACGAAAAUGUCAUAGAAAUACUAAAAUGUACGAAACAUGUCAUAAUAAUACAUCACCUUCAUCAUAGUCAAAAUGUACACAAAAAAAAAAAGAAAAAAACCAAAUGAUAAUCAGCCCUACUGUCUACGAUGCCUCUGCCCCCUGCGAUGCCUGGCAAUCUGAUACGUAAGGGCAGGGCGACCGGUACUGCCAAUCCGAAUCACCUCCUAAACAGUAUCCUCUUUAGUCAUCUUGCCGCUCCUAGACACAAUAUUAUCAGCUAUCUGCACCACAUCCCUAAUGAUCGUCAGUGUGUCAGGCAUCUCUCUGGCAUGCUCCUCCUCUAUAAUCUGCUCCACGUUCGCCGGCCUAUGAGGAGAUCCUUCAUCAGAUGGGAGAAUAUGAGGGUUAGAGACUUUGAAGAAAUUGGGCGCAAAUUCGUGCAAUUGAAGUUUGGAAAAAUUUGGAAGAGAGUUUAGUAGUGUGUUUUAAUGUUUAUGUUUCUGGAAAAAGGAAAAGUGAUGGUUUUGUUCUUGUUUAUUCGCAGAACUCAACGGUAGUUAACUACCAUUGAGGCCAGCGGCAGUUAACUGCUACUGGCUUCCUCAACGGUAGUUAACUACCGCUGAGGGCUUUUAAGGAAUUUUCAUGUGUUAAUAUCAUUGUUUUUGAAGUUAGAACAGCGAUUUUCUUACAUUUAUUGUCUAUGCAAAGUUGUUUUGAACUGAUACUCCACCACUUUUAAAUUCUAAAAAAAUUACAAGUCCAUUUCCCCCUAAAUAUAUUACAAGCCCAUCAUCUUUCCUUUUUAUUUUUAUUUUUACAAAACCCAUUUUUGGUAAAAAUAAAUAAAUUUCUCGUCUCACAUUCAAAAUUGUUCUCCUGCAUCAUUAAAAGAUCAUUAUACCCCCAUCGACAGUUAAGUGUUGUUGUACCAAUGGUAGUUAAAUAUCGUUGGGUAACCAACAAUAGUUAAUUGUCGUUGUUCUCUGAUAUGCAAACAACAAUAGUUGUAAUGUCGAUCAAGACACAAAUCGGUCUGCCUUAGUACCUGUAACUCAUAACCACAAUUUCAAAAGCAGAUUUAAUAAGAUCCAUGAAAUGGUUAUCAAUUAUGGUUAAGAAACAGUUUUUGUGAUAAUAUUUAUGAAAUUGAGACAUUGUGUGUUCCUAGUUUGUGAUAAAAAAUGUAACACACUUCCUACAGAUUUUCUUGUGGGAAACUAUUAUUUCUAUUUACCUGUGGAAAUAGUUUUGUGGCGGAACUAAAUGCGAUAUGUUCACAAUAAAUAUAUUUGCGGGAAGGCAUACUCCUCCAACUCUGAUUAAAGGUUUCCGGUGGAUAUUUUUCACCUUUCCUCAAGAAACAAUUACCCGUGAAGAUAUCACCUGAGAACCUUAAUCCUUGGCAAAAUAUGCACGAAAUAUUUUUCAUGCAAAAUUUGUACGAAAGUUCGCAGGAAAAAUUAAUAUUUCUAGUAGUAAUAUGUGAUCCCACAGAAGAAGCAGAACAUGGGCAUGUUCUCAUACUUGAAAUCAACCGAAUUAAACACCAUCACUGGUGAUGUAGAUAAACAUUUCAGCUCCAGUGGCCUUUCUGACAUUAGUCUAUAUUUUAAUAUGUAUGUUCUUUGCCUUAUCUAGGAACUCAUACAAGGGUUGUUUAUAAAUUUUCCCAAGUAUUUCUCUCAAAUGCGUACCCAUAAUAGAUGUUUUAUAGUGUAGUGGUGAACCCCAGAUCUGGAUCCACAUAGGAACAUGAUUGAAAUCUAAGGAAUGUAAGUCAAUGCUCUGCCCCAAGCAUAAACUACGAAGGCACGAACUAAACAUCAUAAAUGAUCCAUGGAUUUCCUUUCAAGACUCUAAAUAUCAGAUUCAUUAUUCAUAUGAUUUAAUACAAUUUUCCCUUUAUUUUUUAUAUUUUGAAACCUUGAGGGUUAAAUCAAAUCCCCAAAAGAGCACUUUGACACACUUGCUUAGGUAUAGAGAAUCUUACCAAUUAAAUUGUUCUUGCACUAUUGAAUGCAAUCUUGCACAGGUUCUUCUUUAUAGACAAUAAAGGUUCAUCAUCCAAAUCUUCUAUUAUAGGAUUAUUGAGAUUGUUCUGUCAUCAUUUCUUGAACGGUUAGCCGGCCUCAACAAUAUAUGUUGGUUUCUUAAAACCACUAGAAGACCGUUCUUCAUCUGGAGCAUUGUUGCAUAUAUUUUGGAAUGUGAAGGAGUGAUGGAGUUCUGGUACGUACUAAAACCACCUAAAUAUUACAUUAUAUUAUUUAGGUGCUUAUUAACUUAUUUUUUAAGUAAUCAUAUAGAGUUCCCCAAAAUUCUUGUCAAUUUUAGAUAGCUUGUUUUUUAGUAUCAUCAUAGCUACUGUCACAUGUUUCCAAUUUAUCUGUAUGUUUAAAGAUCAUGGAAUGCUUGCAAUAUCAAUUAAUAAGAAUUAUGAGUAUCAGGAAAUUUAGAAGCAAGCAAGGAGAGAGAAGGUAGCAAGCCAAGUCAAAGGGUUCAAGAAAACAGAGAAAGUAGAUUCUCUAAGCGAGUCAAGUCAGAGAAUUGAAGAUGGAUUGGAAGAUAAGAUUCCUUAAGCGAGCAUAAAUUUACUUUAGCGAUUUAAGGUGAAAUUAGUGACCUGUUGAAUGAGCCGACAAUUACUUUAUACCGAAGAAAUCUCAAUUCUCUAAGUGAGCACUUGUUUGCUUGGAGAAUUUUAACUUUUCUGUGAAAUAUAAAUAGCAACUUAGAUUAUAAAUUUUGGUUUUCUUAAAAUUUCUAAUGUUACAUAAAAUAGAGAGUUUGGAAGGCGACCAAAAAUGGUGAAGAGGCAUUGGAAGAUUGUAUCAUCAAAAUUUUAAGCUAUUUCGUCUCAUUCUCAUCUAUUUGUACUUGCUACCAUGAGUAUAUGUAAAAUUGAGAUUAGGUGUAGUUAGCUAUGUAUAUUAUGUAAACUCUUGAUCUAGAUAUGUGUGUGUAUUGUUUCAUUAAACUAUAUCAAUGAAGUUAUUUUUGCACUUAAUGGUUUUCCAACCUGAAAAUCCAAGACUGAACUUUUGGUUUAGGAAGUAAUAGAAAUAGACUUUUUACAUAAGGGAUAUGGAGUAGUUUUAUAUGCAGAGGCUAGUUUUUAGACAUAUAAAGCUAUAUUUACACUCAAAAACUACUAUCCUAACUUAAUGUUAUUGAUGAAUUAAUUGAGCGAGACAUCUGAAGUCGAUAGGUAUAAAAGAUAUCUACGUAUAGCACUCCCUUAGUCAAAAGAUUAAUCUCAGUCUGUACGUUGGAGAAGCAUUAAGUAAAUAAAUAAAAACAUUGAUAUAAUGAAAUAUGAUUUAUAUAUAACCGGUCAUAUCAAGUAUCUACAUUAUCUAUACUAUAUGUAAAGAAAGUAUACCAUUAAUAUAACAUGUUGCGCAUACAUAACCGCGUUGGUGGUGGUGAGAAAAGGAAUAAACCUGAUUCAUCUUGAUGUAGACUUUCACGGCGACGAGGUGGACACCAAAAACAACAAAGGUGAUAUUGAGGGCAGGAGUGUUGUGACACAUCUGAUUGUCAACAUUGGGAUGCUUCCUCCUCUCGUCCCUCCUUCUGUAGAACUCUGUUGUAUGCAUCUCUCGAUCCCAUUUUUUUAUCGAAACAGAUCUGGAGACCGACCUAUUUCUCUACCAAAACCACCGAAAACAAUCUGUUAGAGUUCUGGAGGAUGGUAGUGCGGAGGGCCAGAGCCACUCCUUGCACCACUGCAGUGGUCGCUACGUCUUAUCAGAGAAUUGUUUGGAUGAAAGAUAGAUGACAGUGCGAACUUAAGGUAUAAUAAUUUUUUUAAUACAUUUCUACUAAAAAUAGGGUACUUCAAGAUCGAUCGAGUUGUUUUUUUACAUGCAGUAGUAGACUUUUUUUUUUAAGGAAUGUAGUAGUAGACUUGUUGUUGCUGAUAACUUUUGUAUCAUUGUAAACUUUCUCUCAUGUGCAUCCAACAAAAAAAUCAAAAUAAAGUAAGCAUAGUUGUUAAGAUUUACUUAUAUUUAGACAGAACUCCAAAUUACUAGAAACCUUUUCUAUAAGAAACAGGGGGUUACUAAAAAAACCUAUGGUUUUGUAGGAAUUUAAUUGCAAUUUUAGUCCUCCUAUUUGUUCAAUUUAUGGAUUUUGGUCCCCUAAUUUUUAAACCCCGUAAUUUUAAUCCCAUAGUUUUUUCAAUUUUAGGAAUUGAGGCCAACCUUUCAACUGACUCUGAUAUGGCACAAUUUUAAAUGACAUGGCAUGAACUCAGUACACACAUGAAAGUCAUGUCAUGUCAUAUUAAACUUAAACUUUUUUUUUUGAGGGAUAAACUUAAACUUUUUAACAUCCAGAAAUUGAACAAAUGGGGGAGACAAACUUUAAUUAAGCUUAAAUUUGUUUAAAGCAUAAGGUGUGUCAAGAAUAGGAAAAGUGCAAUAGAAUUCACAAAAUUAAAAAUCGAAACAGCCCAAAGCUACUACAAACCAAAAGAUUCAGAGAUGAAAUGAUGUGGCUUAUUUGCUGGCCUCAGAUUAAUGAUUCUAUUUUCUCAGACAAGCUUCUAAAUGUGGAGCAACUCGUAGAUAGGAUUAAGUCCUCGUGAAAAUGGUUUCUUGGCAAGAACUUCGGGAAUUCUUGUUUUAAUUAUGAGUAGGAAGGUGGAACCUAUUCUACGUUUGGGCCGAUCGAGAUUUGUGUAGGGGGUUCAGUAUGGUGGUCUAUGCUCGAAGGUGGCUUUUCUUGGCAGGGAGGUUUUCCUCCGUUCUUUUGCUUAGGUUCCUUUGUUCAGUCCAUUCUUUGUUGCUCUGGUGCUUAAGAUGCUUAGCUCCGGAUACACGUUUUCGUUGUUUUUGCUUUUGCCUUGAUUUGGUUUGUUUAUCGUCUCUUCCUGUUUACCUUGUGCUCCGUGUAUCUCUUGCUAUCUUUAGCUUGUGUUGCUAAUAUUAAUUUGGCAUUCAAAAGAAUAAAGAAACCAUUACUCAUGCUCCUAAACACACUUUUUUCAAUUAGUAAAAAUGUGCUUUGAUUUAGGAACGGCUUCUAGUUCUCUGCUUGAAUUUGCAUGGCCAACAUCGUCCCAUGGCCGUUCUUGGCUUCUCAGCCACAUUAUUCGGUUUCUCCAUGACAAUUGUGGAAUUCAACCCCGCUCUUAGCUUAUCCUGCUCAGGAUCCUCUCCACUUCUCUCACCACCAUUCUCCUGCUUCAUUUCCUGCCUCAAAGCAACAGCAACAUCCCCAUCAGAUGCGGGUCUCGGCAACCCAUCACCAAGCACAAAACGGAUCUCCUCAGCACGACGAAGAUACCCUGUGCAUUUCUGAGUAAUAGCUUCUCUGAUUUUAGGGUUUUUCUCGUAUUUGAGGUGUGUUUUGAAAUACUCUAAAGUGUUCAUGUAUAAAGGAAACGCUUUUGCAUAGUUUCCAGCAUUAUCUUCUUGCACAGCUUGUUUCACGUAUUCUAUUGCUUGUUCCUUGAAAAAAGCGGAAUUAAACCCGGCUCUUACCUUACUCUUCUCAGGAUCCUCUCCAUCUCCCUCUCCAUCUCUCUCCCCAUCAUUCUUCGGCUUCGUUUCUGGCCUCAAAGUAACAGCAGCAUCCCCAUUAGAAGCUGGUCCCGGCAUACCAUCAUCAAGCACAAAACGGAUCUCCUCAGCACGACGAAGAUACUCUGAAANNNNNNNNNNNNNNNNNNNNNNNNNNNNNNNNNNNNNNNNNNNNNNNNNNNNNNNNNNNNNNNNNNNNNNNNNNNNNNNNNNNNNNNNNNNNNNNNNNNNGAAAUGGCGACUUCACUGGGGACUCUUUUUAACGGGUCGCGCCUAGUUUUCCUUAGUUCAUAUUUACGCUUUGUUUUAUUGCUUACAUAUGUGAAUACUUGUUUAUUUUCAUUUGACGUGUGGGGUGAGAAUAUCAAAAGUCCUAUACCCGGGCUGAGUGAACUUAUGUUUAGGUAGAGAUAUAAUCGACAAUUCGAUCCGGGGGUUGCCUCGUGUAUUGGAUUAUGCGAUCAAUCUCACAUAGCUGAGGCAUUUUGAAGGUGAUAUUGUCGGCGUGUGUUGUCAUGCUUAGGCACUUCACUUUCAAUUGUUCGACGAAGCUAUGAACCGUAGUUACCAAGCCCAUCCUAGCCUUUUUUAGGACGUAGUGCGGUGGCUAAAUUGAGUGUUGUCUCAAACUUUAGUCGUCACGCGAUACUACACUCAAACUAGACCUUCUCACAAAUAAUCAUGGAACGGGUGUCGUCCUGUACUACCAUGAUAUAUGUAAGAGAGGUUGCAGUUUGGGAACUGUGUUAGAACCUUGGUUACUACUAUCCAAAGCCUUAGUUCACCGGACGCCGUGUCCAUCCGUGGCCCCGUUACUUUGAAACUCAACCCACCUUGUUCUUUAACAACACAAUCAUGCAUACAUGCAUUCAUGCAUAAACAUUUUUCAUGCAUUCAUCGAAGGGUUUAAACAAAUGGAAAUUUUUGUAAAUAAUCACAGGUAUGAAGAAGACUAAGUGCUACAAGUUCAAGGAAGUGGAUUUGGUCAGUUUAAGAGAGUUGGCACUCAAGGUCAAGAGUCAAACAGGGUUCCGACUCCGGUAUGGGGGAUUGCUUACUUUGCUCCGAACCGAUGUGGACGAGAAGCUAGUGCACACUCUAGUGCAAUUUUAUGAUCCAAGCUUCCGUUGCUUCACCUUCCCGGACUUCCAGUUGGUUCCUACUCUCGAGGCUUACUCCAAUCUAGUGGGUUUACCUAUAGCCGAGAAGACGCCUUUCACCGGUCCCGGGACUUCUCUUACUCCUCUGGUUAUUGCUAAGGAUCUCUACCUCAAGACUUCCGACGUCUCUAACCAUCUUAUUACCAAGUCCCACAUCCGGGGGUUCACUUCAAAGUAUCUUCUUGAUCAGGCUAAUCUCAGUACUACUCGUCAGGAUACACUCGAGGCUAUUCUUGCUUUGCUUAUCUACGGGUUCCUUCUCUUUCCGAACCUCGACAACUUCGUGGACAUGAAUGCUAUCGAGAUCUUUCAUUCCAAGAACCCGGUUCCUACUUUGCUAGCGGAUACCUACCACGCCAUUCAUGACAGGACUCUCAAGGGCCGUGGGUAUAUUCUUUGCUGCAUAUCUCUUUUGUAUAGGUGGUUUAUUUCGCACCUUCCGAGUUCCUUCCAUGACAACUCGGAGAACUGGUCCUACUCGCAGCGGAUUAUGGCCCUCACUCCUAAUGAGGUCGUCUGGCUCACUCCUGCCGCUCAGGUGAAGAAAAUCAUUAUGGGUUGUGGAGACUUUCUCAAUGUACCUCUUCUUGGUACCCGUGGAGGAAUCAACUACAACCCCGAGCUUGCUAUGAGACAGUUUGGUUUCUCUAUGAAGUCGAAGCCUAUCAAUCUUGCCACAUCUCCAGAGUUCUUCUUCUACACGAAUGCUCCUACCGGACAAAGGAAAGCUUUCAUGGAUGCUUGGUCCAAGGUUCGAAGGAAGAGUGUGAAGCAUCUAGGUGUGAGAUCUGGUGUUGCUCAUGAGGCCUAUACUCAGUGGGUGAUAGAUCGAGCUGAGGAGAUUGGUAUGCCUUAUCCAGCUAUGAGAUACGUGUCUUCAUCUACUCCAUCUGUGCCUCUACCUUUGCUCCCCGCGACUCAGGAUAUGUAUCAGGAGCAUCUAGCUAUGGAGAGUCGUGAGAAGCAAGUGUGGAAAGCUCGGUACGAUCAAGCUGAGAAUCUAAUCAUGACUCUGGAUGGUAGAGAUGAGCAGAAGACUCAUGAGAAUCUGAUGUUGAAGAAAGAACUAGCUAAGGCCCGGAGGGAAUUGGAAGAGAAAGACGAGCUGCUUAUGAGGGAUUCCAAGAGAGCCAGAGGACGACGAGACUUCUUUGACAGAUACUGUGAUUCAGAUUCCGAGUCCGAUGAUCUUCCGACUACUUCCUAUGCUUGAGGGCUUCAUUUGUUUAUCUUGUUGAAAUUUCGAAGUCUUCCUUUUGAAAAUACUAUGUAGUUUUGAUUAUUUGCAAGAUUUCUAAUUUGUUUAAAAAUCCUUCGAUGAAAAAAAUAAGUCUUUCGCAUUUGCAUUUGCAUAUCAUGCAUCAUGCAUCGGUCACAAAGGCUUCCGAGUGCUCACUCUCUCCUGGUUUCUCUGCCUCAGUGUGAAAAGUGGCUCGUGCUCAGAGGGUCUACGAACCUGAUAGAAUCGAUCGAACCAGAGAAUACAGAAGAAAGAAAAAGGCUAUGGAAGAAGAGAACGCUCAGCUCCGCACCGAGUUAGCCACUUUAAAGGAGGAAUUGGCCAAAGCUCAUGAUGUCAUGACUGCUCUGCUAGCUGCUCAAGAGCAAUCAGCUACAGCUAUCCCUACAGCCACAACUGCACCGGUGACUACAAGCGUGCUCCCAACCACUUCUGCAGACGCUCGCUUUGCUAUGCCAGUUGGGUUUCCGUAUGGGCUUCCACCGUUCUUCACUCCCAGUACUGCAGCAGGCGCUUCGGGCACUGCUAACAAUGUUCUGAUCCCUGCAACAAAUGCUGGCUCCAUCAAUGCUACUUUGCCACAAACAACAGCAGCUGUCACUGAGCCUCUUGUGCAUACCCUGCCCCAAGGUGUUAACAUCAACACGCAGCACGGAAGCAUCCCCGUAACCAAGACCAUGGAAGAGAUGAUGGAGGAACUUGCUAAAGAACUCCGUCAUGAGAUUAAAGCCAAUCGGGGGAAUGCGGACUCUUUCAAAACUCAAGACCUUUGCUUAGUGUCAAAAGUGCAUGUUCCUAAAAAUUUCAAAAUCCCGGACUUCGACCGGUACAACGGGCUAACUUGUCCUCAAAACCACAUCAUCAAAUACGUCCGAAAGAUGGGCAAUUACAAAGACAAUGAUUCCCUUAUGAUCCACUGUUUUCAGGAUAGUUUGAUGGAGGAUGCCGCAGAGUGGUAUACUAGUUUGAGCAAGAAUGACAUCCAUACCUUUGAUGAAUUAGCCGCUGCUUUCAAGAGCCACUAUGGGUUUAACACCCGACUGAAGCCAAAUAGGGAGUUUCUCAGGUCCCUAUCUCAGAAGAAAGAGGAAAGUUUCCGUGAAUAUGCGCAAAGGUGGAGAGGGGCAGCUGCCCGUAUCACUCCUGCUUUAGAUGAAGAAGAAAUGACCCAGACGUUCUUAAAGACCUUGAAGAAGGAUUAUGUUGAGAGAAUGAUCAUCGCUGCCCCGAACAACUUUUCGGAGAUGGUCACCAUGGGAACCCGUCUUGAGGAAGCCGUCAGGGAUGGAAUCAUUGUGUUCGAGAAAGCUGAAUCCUCUGUGAAUGCAUCGAAGAGGUAUGGUAAUGGACACCACAAGAAGAAAGAAACGGAAGUGGGAAUGGUGUCAGCUGGAGCCGGUCAAUCAAUGGCUACCGUUGCUCCUAUCAAUGCAGCUCAAAUGCCUCCGUCAUACCCAUAUGUGCCGUACUCUCAGCAUCCGUUCUUCCCACCGUUUUAUCAUCAGUACCCUUUGCCACCGGGCCAACCUCAGGUUCCCGUCAAUGCAGUUGCUCAACAGAUGAAACAACAGUUGCCGGUUCAACAACAGCAGCAGCAGCAAUAUGCUAGACCAACUUUUCCUCCUAUACCAAUGUUGUAUGCUGAGUUGCUUCCAACUUUACUCCAAAGAGGGCAUUGUACAACUAGACAGGGUAAGCCCUCACCUGAUCCGCUGCCUCCAAGGUUCAGGUCUGAUCUCAAGUGUGAUUUUCAUCAGGGUGCCCUAGGUCAUGAUGUCGAGGGAUGUUAUGCUUUGAAGUAUAUCGUGAAGAAGCUCAUUGAUCAAGGAAAGCUGACUUUUGAGAAUAAUGUCCCACAUGUCCUCGACAACCCUCUUCCAAAUCACGCUGCUGUGAACAUGAUUGAGGUAUAUGAGGAAGCUCCCGGACUUGACGUCCGUAAUGUUACAACUCCUCUGGUGCCACUACACAUCAAGUUAUGCCAAGCCUCUCUGUUUGACCAUGAUCAUGCCAAUUGCCAAGAAUGAUUCUGUAAUCCUUUGGGUUGCUGCGUUGUUCAAAAUGACAUCCAGAGCUUGAUGAACAACAAUCAUUUGACUGUCAGCGACGUCUGUGUGAUUGUGCCAGUCUUUCAUGAUCCGCCCGUCAAGAGCGUGCCUUCAAAAGAGAAUGUUGAGCCUCUAAGUGAUAAGGCUGCCCGGACCAGUACCUUAUACUUCUACAAAGGCUAUUCCUUACAAGUACAAUGCCACAUGAAUCUUCUACAGUGCUGAGUUUAUCAAUGCAAUUACUGAAGAGGCGACUGGAUGUAGUCCUAGGCCUAUGUUUGUUAUACCAGGAGGCAUUGCGAGAAAUUGUGAUGCCAUCAACAUUCAUUCAAUCAUGCAUGUUUCCGAAUAAUGUGUCUUGUUGCUUAAGUGUUUUGUUUUUCAAAAUAACCAUCCUCUCGCUCUGCCCGAAGCGAAAGUGAUAUUUCUGGAAGGGCGUGUUUGUUUCGGCAUCGCCGUUAUUAACAAAAAUCGUCGUUUCUUUCACGACUUUUAUUUUUUAGUGAUUUUUUUUUCUUUUUUUCUUGGAAAUAAUGGUAAUACCAGAAAAAACCAAAACAUCUUUAUUUUUCUUAUCAAUUUCAAAGAACUGCAUAAAAAGAAAAAAAACCAUUUUCUAAAAUCAUUCAACCAUUCUAUGCAGUUUGAACCAUAAUAAACCCGUUGAACACAGUAAUCCUACAGUUCCUCCAAAUUUUGAAUUCCCUGUGUAUGAAGCCGAAGAUGAAGAGGAUGGUGAUAUACCAUAUGAGAUCACUCGGUUACUUGAGCAAGAAAAGAAAGCCAUUCAGCCUCACCAGGAAGAGAUUGAGCUUAUCAACAUAGGUACCGAGGAGAACAAGCGAGAAAUCAAGAUCGGUGCUGCUCUAGAGGAAGGGGUUAAAAAGAAGAUCAUCCAACUCCUCCGGGAAUAUCCGGAUAUUUUUGCAUGGUCGUAUGAAGAUAUGCCAGGUCUAGAUCCUAUGAUUAUGGAGCAUCGGAUCCCCACCAAGCCUGAAUGUCCUCCCGUCAGGCAGAAAUUGAGAAGGACUCAUCCAGAUAUGGCUCUCAAGAUUAAGAGCGAGGUUCAAAAACAGAUUGAUGCGGGUUUCCUCAUGACAGUUGAGUACCCUGAAUGGGUUGCCAAUAUUGUACCUGUGCCAAAGAAGGAUGGUAAAGUCCGGAUGUGUGUUGACUUCAGAGACCUGAACAAAGCCAGUCCAAAAGACAACUUUCCAUUACCUCAUAUUGAUGUGCUUGUUGAUAAUACUGCUCAGUCUAAGGUGUUCUCCUUCAUGGACGGUUUCUCCGGUUACAAUCAGAUCAAAAUGUCUCCUGAAGAUAGAGAAAAGACGUCUUUUAUCACUCCAUGGGGUACUUUCUGCUACAAAGUGAUGCCGUUCGGCCUAAUUAAUGCUGGUGCUACCUACCAAAGGGGAAUGACUACUCUGUUUCAUGACAUGAUUCACAAAGAAGUCGAAGUAUAUGUGGAUGACAUGAUUGUGAAGUCAACAGAUGAGGAGCAGCAUGUUGAAUAUUUGACAAGGAUGUUUGAAAGGUUGAGAAAAUACAAGCUUCGAUUGAAUCCCAACAAAUGUACAUUCGGCGUCAGAUCCGGGAAGUUAUUAGGCUUCAUUGUCAGCCAAAAAGGCAUUGAAGUCGAUCCUGAUAAGGUCCGGGCCAUCCGAGAGAUGCCAGCUCCACAGACCGAGAAACAAGUCAGAGGUUUCCUCGGACGCUUGAAUUACAUCUCCCGAUUCAUAUCUCACAUGACCGCAACCUACGGGCCGAUCUUCAAGCUACUCAGAAAGAAUCAGCCUGUUGUAUGGAAUGAUGAAUGUCAAGAAGCUUUUGAUAGCAUCAAGAGUUACCUGCUGGAACCACCUAUCCUUGUCCCACCCGUGGAAGGAAGGCCUUUGAUUAUGUAUUUGGCAGUAUUUGAUGAAUCCAUGGGAUGCGUACUUGGUCAACAAGAUGAGACUGGAAAGAAAGAACAUGCCAUCUACUAUCUAAGCAAGAAGUUCACCGACUGUGAAACUCGGUAUACAAUGCUUGAGAAGACUUGUUGUGCUCUAGCUUGGGCUGCUAAACGCCUGCGCCAUUAUUUGGUGAAUCAUACAACUUGGUUGAUAUCCAGAAUGGAUCCGAUAAAGUAUAUCUUUGAGAAAGCUGCUGUUACUGGGAAGAUUGCACGCUGGCAGAUGCUUUUGUCUGAAUAUGAUAUUGUGUUCAAAACUCAAAAGGCAAUCAAAGGUAGCAUUCUUGCCGAUCACCUUGCUUACCAACCUCUUGAUGAUUACCAACCAAUUGAAUUCGAUUUCCCCGAUGAAGAGAUCAUGUAUUUGAAAUCCAAAGACUGCGAAGAACCGUUGAUUGAUGAAGGUCCAGAUCCCAAUAGCAAGUGGGGUUUAGUCUUUGAUGGUGCUGUCAAUGCUUAUGGUAAAGGAAUUGGGGCAGUCAUUGUAUCCCCACAGGGGCAUCACAUUCCUUUUACCGCUCGAAUUCUGUUCGAAUGUACCAACAAUAUGGCUGAAUAUGAAGCAUGCAUCUUUGGGAUCGAGGAAGCAAUUGACAUGAGAAUCAAACACCUCGACAUCUAUGGAGAUUCCGCGCUCGUCAUCAAUCAGAUAAAGGGUGAAUGGGAGACCCACCAUGCUAAGUUGAUUCCUUAUCGUGAUUAUGCGAGACGUUUGCUGACAUAUUUUACAAAGGUUGAGCUGCACCAUAUUCCUCGUGAUGAGAACCAAAUGGCUGAUGCUCUUGCUACUCUAUCCUCCAUGUUUCGAGUAAACCAUUGGAAUGAUGUGCCAAUAAUCAAAGUGCAACGCCUUGAAAGACCUUCACAUGUGUUUGCUAUUGGGGAUGUGAUCGAUCAGGCUGGUGAAAAUGUGGUUGACUAUAAACCCUGGUACUACGACAUCAAAUAGUUCUUGCUGAGCCGUGAGUAUCCGUCGGGUGCUUCCAAACAAGACAAGAAGACCUUGAGAAGAUUGGCCAGUAGAUUCAUGUUAGAUGGAGAUAUUCUGUACAAGAGAAACUAUGACAUGGUAUUGCUAAGAUGUGUUGAUGAACACGAAGCAGAGCAGUUAAUGCAUGAUGUACAUGACGGUACCUUUGGAACCCAUGCUACAGGGCAUACUAUGUCAAGGAAGUUGUUGCGAGCAGGUUACUACUGGAUGGCCAUGGAGCAUGAUUGCUACCAGCACGCCAGAAAGUGCCACAAAUGUCAAAUCUAUGCUGAUAAGAUCCAUGUGCCUCCGCAUGCUCUCAAUGUUAUUUCAUCCCCAUGGCCGUUCUCAAUAUGGGGCAUCGACAUGAUUGGAAGAAUUGAACCGAAGGCUUCAAAUGGUCAUCGUUUCAUCUUAGUGGCAAUUGACUACUUCACCAAGUGGGUGGAAGCAGCAUCUUAUACCAAUGUGACCAAGCAAGUGGUAGCUAAGUUUAUCAGGAACAACAUCAUCUGUCGAUAUGGUGUUCCCAGCAAGAUCAUUACCGACAAUGGUACCAACCUGAACAACAAUGUGGUGCAAGCUCUUUGCGAAGAAUUCAAAAUUGAGCAUCAUAACUCUUCUCCCUAUAGACCUCAGAUGAAUGGUGCCGUUGAGGCCGCCAACAAGAAUAUCAAGAGAAUUGUCCAGAAGAUGGUAACCACUUACAAGGACUGGCAUGAGAUGCUACCCUAUGCUCUGCAUGGCUACCGUACUACUGUGCGCAGUUCAACCGGGGCAACCCCUUUCUCUCUUGUAUAUGGUAUGGAAGCAGUUCUUCCUUUGGAAGUGGAGAUCCCAUCUCUCCGUGUGAUCAUGGAAGCAAAGUUAUCCGAGGCUGAAUGGUGCCAAAGCCGGUAUGAUCAGUUGAAUUUGAUUGAGGAAAAACGUAUGGAUGCCAUGGCUCGUGGACAGUCAUAUCAAGCAAGAAUGAAGACUGCCUUUGACAAGAAAGUCCAUCCUCGAGAAUUCAAGGUAGGGGAACUUGUAUUGAAAAGGAGGAUAAGCCAACAACCCGACCCAAGGGGCAAGUGGACGCCUAACUAUGAAGGUCCUUAUGUUGUCAAGAAGACCUUCUCCGGUGGUGCUUUAAUCCUUACACACAUGGAUGGUGUAGAACUUCCAAAUCCAGUGAAUGCCGAUAUAGUCAAGAAAUACUUUGCCUAAAAAUAUGAAAAGAACAGCGUGGUAGGUCGAAAACCCGAAAGGGCGGCCUAGGCAAAAAUGCGCUUCCCGGUGGAUCGAAAACCCGAAAGGGCGGUCCAGGCAAAAAUAAGGGACAAAAAAACAAAUAUGAAAAGCUCGCUGAGAUUGUACACAACUCAGGCAAGAAUGAGCGUCUCGAUGAGCCGAAAACCCGGAAGGGCGGUUCAUGCAAAAAUGAGGUUGAAACAAAAGGCAAGUAACUAUAUCUGGCCAACCACCGUCCCCCUUGGGGCAUCUGCAGCUGUUAAUGACCAUCUUCAUCAAAAGCGAAUGCUUGCGAAUUCAAAGUUUCUAGGAAAUGUCAUGAUCACUGUGUUCAAUGUACCACCAACCAAUAAAAUUACCAUUUUCCAAGCUUUGUAAAUCCGUGGAGUCACGCCUUCGGCUGACCACCCCUCUUAUACAUCAAAUUGAGCCUGUGCUUUUGUUUAAAACUCUAUUUUCUUCUACUUUCAAAGCUAUAUACAAAACAUUUUCCUUCUAUUUUGAUAAUGACAAUGCUUGAAACAAACAUUUUUUUGAAAAAUUGAAAACUUUUUGUCUAUUUUGAAAAGCAAACCUGAGCAACAGGGUACAUUCAAAUGAAACAUGCAUGAGCGAGAGUAUGUUGAUGACUAUUUCAAUAUAUGUUACAAGCGGGUUCUCCUCCAGGAUAGUCUGUGGUCAAUGGCAAGAAUGAAAAAACAGAAUGAAAAUGCAUGAAAAUAAAUGAGCUCGCUAAGUUGAAAACCCGAAAGGGCGACUUAGGCAAAAAUGAGCACCCCGCUGGAUUGACAACCCGAAAGGGCAAUUCAGGCAAAAAUGGGGCAUUGAAAAGAAUUUAUUUCCCCGGUGGAUCGAAAACCCGAAAGGGCGAUCCAUGCAAAAAUGGGAUGCAAAAAAUGAAUGAUGAAAGUUGAGAAAAUAACAUGCAAAAAGCAUUGACCACAGAUGCGACAUCCACGGUACAUCCGGCAUUAUUUCCAGUAGAGUCUCCCAAGAUUCUAUCCCCAGCAAGUUGCAUAGCUACCUGCCCUCAGCCAUGGUUCCGACACGUCUCCCAACGACGUCAUCUCCAAAGAGGAUUUCCAAGAAUGUGUAAUAUAGCACGAGCCACUACGUGCCCAAUACUCUGAUGUCUUGUCUUCCCCGUGAAGUCGUGCCUACAAAAUGCCAACAGUCAUGCAUUACAAGCAUUCAUACAUGCAUAAUCAUGCAUAUUACGUGCCCAUGCAUUUAAUGAAACUGUUAUAUCAUCCACGCAUAUCGCACUUCCAAUGUCAACAUCAGUCUCAAUUCAAUACUCAUGUCAGGUUCUCUGUCAAAACCUUGUGAGCCAAUAAUAUCGGUCAAUUUCUGCCUUUCAAUUCAAAUCGACGUCAAGUCAAUCUCAAUCUAUAUUUUGUCAAAAAAAAACCAAUCCCCAGUGAAUAUGUUUCUGUUUGGUCAAGUGGCUAGUUCAAGUCCAAGAACAGCUUGUACCUAUCAAUUUGCUUAUGUUAUCGGUCGAGUGCCCAGCUCAAUCCAAGAGCAGCUUGUACCUGUCAAUAUGUUUCCGUUUGGUCAAGUGACUAGCUCAAUCCAAGAGCAGCUUGUACCUGUCUAUCUGUUUCGGUCCGGUGGAGUAACCAGUUCGCAUCCAAGAACAAGCUUGCACCUGUCUAUUUGCCUUGUUUUCAGUCGAGUCACCAGUUCGAAUCCGUAAGAACAACUCGUACUUGCCAAUUUUCUCUUUUUCCCAGUCGGGUCACCAGUUCGAAUCCAUAAGAACAACUCGCACUUUCCAAUGUCCCCAAGUGAGUUACCAGUUCGAAUCCAUAAGAACAACUCAUGUUUGUCCAGUAACCUCUAUCCCCUGUGAAGUGACCAGUUCGAAUCCAUAAGAACAACUCGCAGUUGUCUGUUUGUUUCAUCCCCGGUCAAGUGGCUAGUUUGAAUCCAAGAACAGCUUGUACCUGUCCAACUUGUUUCUAGUCUCCCGUUACUCUGUUAUUCACUAUCUUUGUCAAUGUCUACCAAUCCCGCAAUGGAUACGACAUAUUUUGUUAAUUCCAAUCCCCAUGAGGUCUUGCAUUCAUAAUCCAAAUGAUGCAUGGCAUGCAUAUAAUUUGAAAAUGGGUAGGCGUAUUUUUACGUCCAAACACAGUGCAAAUGCUAAUAUUUAAGUAUCUUCGUCCUGUCAAGCCAAAGACUCCGUCUCUUGACUCUCCAGACAAAGAAACUUAAAUAGGGGCAGCNNNNNNNNNNNNNNNNNNNNNNNNNNNNNNNNNNNNNNNNNNNNNNNNNNNNNNNNNNNNNNNNNNNNNNNNNNNNNNNNNNNNNNNNNNNNNNNNNNNNUUGAUGCUCUGGAAGUAUAAUAAUACUCAAAUAGAGAUUGGGACUUGAUGCCCCGUAUUGGUACCACAUGCAUAUAAGAGGUCUAAGUUGCAUAGUCAAGAGGUUAAGUUGUCGAGUUGUCAAGUUGUCAAGUUGUCGAGUUGUUAAGUUGUUAAAUCAUGAAAUUGUUUAAAGCUGUGAUUCUUUAUAUGAACUAUUAAAGAAGUGAAUUAUGAUAUAUUAUUAUCUAUGAUGAAUAUUAUGAUGAUUACAUGAUGUUGUCUAUGAGUUGUUAAAUAUGAUUGAUGAUGCUUAUGUUGUUAAAUGUAAUUGAUGAAUUAUAUGCUUAAUAUUAUUGUUUGUGAAAUCUCACCCCUUCUGUUUGCCCACCAUGGGUAACUAGCAGGUAACCAGGAAUAGUUGAUGUCGUGUGAGCUUUCUUUCUCGUGUGUCUUUAGGUGCUCUGAUACGUAAAGGGAUGAGAACUUUUGUUGCAUGUUUUUCUAUUCCUUACGUAUUGUUUAUGAAUUUACAAGAUUAAGUUGUUAAUUGGAUUUUUAUUAGAUAUUUUAAUGAGGCCUUCGUGCCAAAGACUAUUCUAGAUGUUGAAUAAAUUCCGUUGCGAAGUAUUAAAUAUUAUGUUAUUGAUUUAUGAAGGAUAAAUAGUUAUUUAUUCCAUUUACGAUUUUUGAAAAGAAGUGUGACAUUCCGUUUAUGUUGAAAACUCUGAUUUUUGUAUGAAAUUUUUAUGUUGGGAAAACGGGGUGUUACAUUAAGAAGAAAAUAUAGUUCUGCUUCUGAAGUGAUGUUCAGAACUAAAUGCAGCAGAUAAAAUAGAGAAAGAGAGAAGAAAGACACAAAGCAAUUAUACAGGUUCCUUCCAUAAACCGGAAGUAGUCAUGUCCCCCUUGCACAUCCAAGGACAGUUCACUAAAAAUGUAAUAUCUGAUUACAAAUGCUCAUUGCUAAAACUAGCAAGAGACUUCAAAUUCUCAAACACAACUUCAAGAGACUUCCUAUGCUCCUGAACACAGUCAAGAGACUUCUAAUGCUCAAGCACAACUGUAAGAGACUUCUAAUUCAAACAGAAUUACACAUAAAAUUGUUUGAGGUUGAACACUUGAUAUACAAUGAGUGGUGUUCACAAUACAAUUCAGAUACAGACUCUUAAGACUCUAGAAUUUCUAAGAUAUGAACCUUGAUAAGAAAUUCUAAGUGAACUUUUUGAUGCAGAACAAUUUCAGUAGAGUUUUGACACUUUCAAGUUGUUGUAGAGUCUUGCCAUUCUCUAAGUCUUCACUUUAUAUAGAGGUGUGAAAGAGACGUUGUGAAUUGCCAGCACAUCAAAAUAAGAGUCGUUUGAAGCUUUGAUCAAUCACUAAUGAUCUUUUUCCUGAUAUGGUUAUUGUCUUAUGAAAGAUCAAUUUCAAAUCCAUUCUCAGUAUGUAGAAACAUUGUUGUAGGCAGAGCUGUUAUUCUUGUCUUUUAGCAGAGACACAAACUGAGUAGUGGAGAUAGUGGUUGUACACUUCGUACAAUUGUACUAUGACAACGCUCUUCAAAGAACAAGCAUCCAAUGCUUUCAAAUCCUAUCAAAAUAGUCGUUGCUUCACUCCUCUGGUCUUUUGCAAUGCUUGAACGAGAUUGAAUCCACUGAACAGCCUUUGAAGCUCUAAGUCUUGCAUCUUCUGAAGAACUUAAGCUUCUGGUGAUCUUGCUUCUGAUGACGUCAUCACUUCAGAACUUUGACUUCAGGAGCACUCUCUUCAGAUGCUUAAAGCUUCCUUUUUGUUGAUUCCUUAGCUCUUAAUUUGCUCUUUCAUAACCUAAUAAUGAUAUCAAUUUUUGUCUAUGGUCCUGUACACUUGAACAAAUAUUAGCAUAUCCAAUUGACAAUUUUUAAUACAUUGUUAUCAUCAAAACUCAAAGGUAAUGUUAAACACAUUUUGUUCCAACAACUGAAUCAUCACAUCCCAUACCAACCAACCAAACCUCUGACUCAUAUGUGUUGGAUGAACUUGCUAAUCAUUACUCAGGUGAAUUAUACCUGGUGUUAAACCCAAUCUAGAAAAAGCCUCUGAAGUAGCUUCUGAUGGAGUUACUUUAGAAAGCUCACAACAACAAGCACCAAACUCACAAAUGGCCAAGAAAAGUUAAUCUGUUCCUGAACAACAUGUUCCUGAACACAUCAUUGAUGAUCAACCUGAGUUUUACAAUUCUCUUAACCAAAUCAGUGAUACCGACUUUAUGAUCACAUCAGAUUCUUCUGAUGGUAGGGAUGAGAAAACUAACUCCUAGGUUAAACCAAGAUUUCUUAGUAAUUAGUCAACAAGCUCAUAUUCUAUUGUGGUCUUAAAUUUUUUUCUUGAUCAACCUUCUGACACCACAACUCAUACACCUAACCCUAAACCUUCUACCACUGACCUUCUUUCAUUUUCAAACUUAGCUAUUCAAACUUGUGCUCAUGCCAAAACCAAAAAUGUCCCUUCUCCACCCACCCUGUUUCUAGAUUCUACUAUACUAGCAGAUAUGUGUGAGAACAUAUUUCAGGACCUGAACAAGUUAGUUCAAGUAAGGAACAAUCUGGUUCAUGAAGAUAACUAUGAAAAGCAAUGGAGGAGGUUGAAAGAAAGAGUGGAUUUUGUCUUAAUUGGACUUCAAAGAUCAUCUCUUGAUGCUCAAGACAUUUCUCAAAACAAACUCCAAGAUUGGCUAAGAGGGAUUGUUUGUAACUUGCAAGAAGUUGAAGUCAAAAAGAACUCUUGUGAAGACACCUUUAUGCAUAAGAGCCAGAAAUGCUACUGAUUUUACUCCUUCUGGUGUUCACUCUAUGGAGCCGGAUCUAUCUUGGUUAUCUAAAAUAAAUGUCAAGACAACCUCACCAGAUUUGUCUUUGUUGCAAAGGAAUGUUGAACUAGAGAGUGAAAACAAGCAGCUGAAAAAAGAGCUUAUAGAUCAGAAACUGCUGCUGCUUGUAUACAUGACAUCUAUAGAAGCAAACUGGAAGAAGCAAGGAUUAGAGAAGAGAAUUUGUUACGAAGCCAUAAUGAUCUCAAGGAAAAAUUGAGGAAGUAAUUUGAGAACACAAACAGGAAACUCCAAGAAAUGAUGGAAAUGUUCCAGAAACAAGCCAAGCCUUAGUUGCACACAUUGUCUUUUAGUUUGUUUAGUUUUUACUCUUGAGUUUCUAUGUUUAUGUGCUUCUGAACCAUUUUUAGCUUAUGAAAUGUUUAUGUGUUUCUGAACUAAUAUUUUGCUUCUGAACUAAUUUUUUGUGCUUCUGAACUCAAUGAAUUGCUCACUAUGUUUUUCUCAUCUCUUACUUUUUGUCUUUAUAUUUUUCUUUAACUUUUUGUUGAUAACAAAAGGGGAGUGGAUGUAUAGUAUUUAUGAUAGGCUCUGAGCCCCAUUAAUUUAAUUUUAAUCAAGUUAAAUUAAUAGAACGUUCUUCCAAUCUCUUAGUCUAUUUAAGGUGAGAUUAAUUCUGAGUGUUAUUUCGUUUUUAAAUGAUGAAUUUAAUUAACAUGGAUAGAACUGUGUUUAACAUUACUGAUAGAUUUUUUUAGCAAGUAUACUAAAUACUAUUGAAGUAGUAAAAAUAUCGUUCCCACGAGGACUGUGUUAAUCUCAAUUUAGCAAUAAGGUUAAUAUUUAGGAUGUGUAAAUUAUUUUGUUUGUAGAUUUGAUUUGAUUGCAUAAAAUUAAAUAAACAGAAAAUAAAGAUAGUGUUGGAAAAUAUAUAUAAGAGAUGAGACUAGGUCUUUCGAAUCAUCUAUGUUCCCCUAAUUGGUAUACUGCACCUAUUCUUAUGAAUGAUUUUCUAGUUCCACGAUAGUUAACAAAAUAGUCCUAAUCAAUCCCUUGAGUUAUGACUCUCUUCUCAUACUACAGCCCCUAAUUUCUUAGUUGGUCUAAUAAUCUUUGAAGGUUUUAAGAACGUUAACCUAAUAUCACUAACAAACGAUUAUCCAUUCCUAGACUAACCAUGUUUAUUAGAAUAAUUCAAUUUUGUCUAAGUAGAAAGCUAUGGUCAGUAGUCAUUCAUUCUCACUAAAUCAUGUUUAUAUUUGAUCAGUAUAUAAAAAGCAUUAAGAACAAUUGAAUUGAAUAAAAACUAGAUUGUCAUUCACAAUAAAUAGAGUUUCACAGCAACAUGGUUCAAUAAGGGUUACAUAGAAUCAUCUCAGACCUAAUCAAAGGAAAUUAGCUAGACAUGGUUAAAUACAUAAACAACAUAGUAAAGAAAAUAAACCGAUAGAGUUUCGUCGUUGUCGGCGUUGCUCCUCAAUUCUUUCAAUUGCUACCGAUUAUGAGUUUUUCCCUAUCCAUAUGCCUUCUUCCCUUCUCGUGAUGCGUGCGGCUCUUUUCUUUUCCAAAUUGUGAAUCACAAAACGUGAAUCACUGUAUGCCGUAAUCUCCUCCUUUUGUGUGUGGCUUUCUUGUUAUAUAUAUAGUCAAUGUAACCUAGUUUUCUUUCUUUCAACAUGUUACGGUUUUUUUAUCUUUUCUUUUGCUCAAGCCAAUUUAUUUCUUCUUUUUGCACCUUCCAUGUAGUGACAUUAUUUUCUUUCCUUGUGCGACAUGUUCCUAAAAUCGUGUCACGAAAUAGUCAUCGUGACACGUUUUAACCGAUAUCGAAUGAACCUCAUCUGUGCUCCAAAUCGUGACACGUUUUCAACAAUCGUGACACGAUUUUGCUUUCUUCAAAAAUCUUCUAUUUUUCUUGUUUUCUUUGUUGUUUAAGCUUGCAUGUGAACUCAAAAUAUCAUGAAAAUGACACUAAAAACAGUGAAUGACUGACUGUCAUCAAUUACCCUUUAAGAGUUUUGAUGAUAACAAGGUAUUAAAAAUUAUCAAUUGGAUACGCUAAUAUUUGUUCAAGUGUGCAGGACCAAAUACAAGGUUAAGUAUAUUUUGUAGGUUCUGGAAGAACAAAUUAAGAGCAAUGGAAUCAACAAAAAGAAAGCUUGAAGCGUAUGAAGAAAAGUGAUUAUGAAGUCAAGUUCUCAUGAAAUGAUCACGUCAUUAGAAGCAAGUUGAUCAGAAGCACUUCAUCAGAAGCUACAUCCCCAGAAGCUGUCUUUCAUCAGGAGCAGAAGAUCAUCAGAAGAUGAAAGAGUUAAUGCUUCAAAGACUGUUCAAAGGAUUUAAUCACGGCUAGCAUUGCAAGAAGACAAGAAGAGUGAAGCAACGACUAUUUUGAAAGAAUUUGAAGGCAUUAGAUGCUUAUUUUUUGAAGAGCGUUGAAAAACUACAAUUGUACGAAGUGUACAACCACUAUCUCCACUACUCUGUUUUGUGUCUGNUGGUGACAAAACUUUGCGACACACAUUUCAUUGUUGGUCGAGAACGAGGAUUGACAUUUAAGCAUGCAAAGGCAACAACGGCAAAAUGAAUUAUGUUACGUAUAACCAUUUCAUUAUUUGGAAGUGGAAGACGCUGGUCUAAUACUUGAUAUAGUUUGACACUUUGUGUUGAUGUUGAUUGAAGUGAUGACAAUAAAUCCCCAGGGUGCCUUCCAGCUAAAGUUUCAAGUGCCACUACACCAAAACUAUAUACAUCACACUUUUCAUUCACAGCCAUAGUAUAGGCAAGUUCUGCAUUGAUCAAAUUAUAUAAUGAGCAUUUAAAAGAAUCCAAAGAAAAUAAUUUAAAAUUACUACUUAGCAUGAAAAACUAAUGAACAUGUAUGUUAUUUAUGAGGAGUUAUGAAUAUGCACGAUGAGCAUAAUACAAAAAUGAAGAAAACAACCGAAUAUGAAAAGAAAAAAUAUCAAUGGUUAAUUUACCCGGAGCUAUAUAUCCAAUAGUUCCAGCAACUAUAGUUCGAUUGGAUGAAUCAUAUUGAAGGAGUCGAGCUGUGCCGAAGUCACAAACACUGGCCUGCCACUCAGAGUUUAGCAAGAUAUUGCUAGUAGAUACAUCUCGAUGCACUAUUGGAGCAGUGCAAUCAUGAUGAAGAUAUGAAAGAGCAAAUGCAACUCCUUUAAUAGUGUUAACUCUUUUUCUCCACUUGAAUUUCAUGGCUUCUACAUCAUCAUACAAGACAGAGAAUAAGCUUCCUCUAUCCAUGUAUUGAUAGAUCAAAAACAUGAUUCUUUUGUGCAAGCAGAAUCCAUAAAGCUUCACUAUAUGUUUGUGCUUUAUUUCUGUUAAAAUUCUCACUUCAUUUCUGAAACUCUCAUCAAAAGAUGGAACCUCUGCUUCAUAGCCGUGAAGUUUCUUUAAGGCAACAACCUUGCCACUUGGUAAUUGUGCCUUGUAAACACUUCCAUAUGCUCCUGUUCCAAUACAAUAUCUCAUGUCAAAGUCUUCUGUCGCUUUGAUUAUGUCAUCAUAUGCUAUCAUUCCAUCAUAAUUCCAUAUACAAAACAUAUCUCCAUUCUUUGUUUUUGUUGAGUUUCCAUGCAACUUCUUAGAAGAAUUAUGAUGAAGAUUUAAACAUAUGAGAAGUAAGAAGACUAUGACUAGAAUAAUAAGUAUCGGAAUAACAAUGACAACAAUGUGCUUUAAUUUAUUAUUUUUCUUGUGUGGUGACCAAGGUUGGAACUGGUUAAAUGAACAUACAUCAGAAUUUUCGAUCUUCGUUGUAUGAAGACAAUUUGGAAUGGGACCCUUCAAACAAUUGUAUGAAAUGUCCACAUAAAUGACUUUACAGAGAGAUUGGGGAAUUGUUCCAGUGAGAUUAUUAUUUCUUAAAGUAAGUUGUUGAAAAUAUCCAAGCUCAGAAGGUAUUUCACCACUAAUGUGGUUGUGACUGAGGUCCAUGGAAGUUUCAUAAUCAAUAAAUGGAAACAAAUUGGAAGGAAGCGUACCGAUGAGUAAAUUGUGGGAAAUGUCAAGGGUUUUUAAUGAAAUUGGAAAGAUCCCACCAAUGGAAUUUCUACUUAACAACAAAACUUGCAAUUUGGUUAAUUGAUCAAAGUUAUAUGGAAGGAAACCAGUGAAAAAAUUAUAUGAGCAGUUAAGGUAUAUUAAUUGUGUGAGAUUUUUAAGAGAAAUAGGCAGGUUUCCAUUGAGUCUAUUGUGAGACAGAUCUAAUGUAGUGAGAUUUUUCAGUAACCCCAACUCAAAAGGAAGGAAACCUUGAAUGUUGUUGUUAGAAAUCUCUAGGGACUCUAAAGAUCUAAGAUUUCCUAUUGAAGGAGGUAUCUUACCUACAAGAGAAUUGCCAUAAAUAACAAGAUGAGUGAGUUUGGAGAGGUUUCCUAGUGAAGGAGGUAGCUGACCUUUAAGAAAAUUGACAGACAAAUUAAGAUGAGUGAGUUUGGAGAGGUUUCCUAGUGAAGGAGGUACCUGACCAUCAAGAAAAUUGACAGACAAAUCAAGAUGAGUGAGCUUGGAGAGAUUUCCUAGUGAAGGAGGUAGAUGACCUUNCAAGAUUAACGCGCGCUGCUAUAGCUAAGUUCCUGGCAGGUGUUUCGGAAAAGUGCAAAAUGAGUAUUCAAGAACCGUGACAGAACACAGCUGAAUGUAUAGUGAGUUUCGGGUGUUCGAAAUUGGUUUUCAUCCAAAAUAAACUUAACAAAUUCAAAUGUGCGCAACUGCUUACAAUCAUUUGAGUGCUUUUGGUUUUUCUCAGCCAAUCCUUUCGGUCAAUAAGAUUUGUUGUUAAAAUCAUUACCUUAAUAUCUUAAAACAAAUAUACAACUUAACUCUAAGCUCUUUGCACUUUUUAAUCUUCCAAAAUAUACACAAAAUAUUAGGCGAAAAAAACAAAAAAGUUCAAUUUAAUUAAUUUUUUUUGGUAAAGCCCUCUUAUUGGGGCCCAAAAAAGUCCAAAAUAUAGACAAAAUAACAAUAACAACAGUAUAAAGCCCUCUUACAAAUAAUUUGGGCCUGUUACGUUGUUUAAAUGAAUUAAAUUAGAAAAUAGAAACCAUACAUAGAAAAUAAUUUUGGCAAACAUGUAGUGUAAAAAUUAUUAGCACUAAUCUAAUUUUGAAUCUCUACAUCAUUGGACUUAUCAACUGUUCAUCAUAGUUAAAUUAUUUCAAUGUUAACAUUAGCAUUUGGUAAAAAUUAAACUAUAAUACAAAUCAAGGAAAGGUAGCAGGUGCAACUUAGAUUUCUUCUAUCCUGUUUGAACACUCAUGCUUUCUGAUAAGUCUUGAAGGAGACAUGAUUUAUUUUUUUCCCAUCCAGUUUGUGGUAUUAUUGGUUAUUGGGGGCCCCAAUGAAGGAAGCAUCUUCCUCUUGACGUGGUCUAGACUUUGUGCAUUAGUUUCCUUUAGUGUGCGAGUUUUUCUUCGUCAAUGAGUCAACUUCAGAGUUUCUUGCUAACGAGUACUCUUACAAUAUUGACUAACAAAUCUACAAGUUUUUAGCUUUGUCCCUUCGUCCCAAAAUAACUUAGUUAUUUGCGCAAAAAUUUUUUGUUUCAAAAUAAUAGACACAUUUUAUUUUUCAUAACUUUAAUUAAUAUUACUUUCAUUACUCUUAAUUAAAUAUAUUCUACUUUACAUUUAUAAUAAUGAAAAAUGCAUCAAUACUGGACAAGAGACUCAAAAUCGGACAUUUUUUUCUCUCUCUCUUUCAAUUAUACAAUUUUUUUUAUUAUGCGUAAAACGAACAAAAGAGUUGGGUAUGAUGAGACCAAGGGAGUGAUUAAUUACACAAUUUUUUGAUACAAAACUUACUUACAAUUAUUUUAGUACUUAACCAAUACCCAAAGGAGACUUAUUAACCUUCUCCAACGUAUAAAACCAUUUUCUUUGCAAGUUAUUUUUACUUUUGAGGGAAACUAAUGUAUUCCUAAGAAAAACCGUAAUUAUGGGACCAAAUUAGUGCUUCAGAAGAAAAAAAAACUUAUUUUCGGUCUUUAAGGAAAAUGAAAGAAGAUAAAGUAGAUCUGGUUUUUUUUUUUCUUCGUGAUAUCAUUGUCUGAAUGUGACGAUGUGUUGUUUGCCGUUUUAUGCAGCGAUGUUAAUUUAUCUUCUUGUUGUUGUGGUGUUUAUUUGUUUUAUAUUGAAAGAUUAAAUAUUCAAUUGAUUUUUAGAUGAACCGGUCAACUGAAACAAACAAAUAUCAUCAAGUUUGUUUGUAUUUGUUUCACUUAUAAAUAAAUAAAUAAAAAAGCUAAAACCAACUCAACACUCUCAAUUCUCAUAUCUUAGGGGGUGUGUUUGUUUCAAGUUAUAAUUGUUGAUUCCCGGGAAUAAAAUGAUAGGAAUGUAUAUGCCUAUGUUUGUUACAAGUUUACUAAAUUUUAUUCCCAGGUAUAAAAUGUUCCUGGGAAUAGAAAAAAAUUUCCCAAGGAAAAGGGUGGGAAUAAAGUUCUCAUGGAGAUGGAAAUAAAUUCAUAAAUAGUUUACCUAUUAUAAUCCCUAUUUUUAUGGUUCCUAGGAAUAUUAUAAAGCUAACCAAACAUAUUUUUCCUAAAUUCCUUGGAAUAAAAUUUUCAUCUUUAUAUUCCAAUUAAUGUUAUUCCUAGAAAUAAAUUUGGUAAACUUGAAACAAACACACCAUUGAGUCCUCUCAUCUCUAUUGUUGGAGAUUCAAUGCUGUGUCCUCUCUCUCAUAAUUUAAUGUUGUGCAGUACAAUGACACACUCAUAAUACUUCAGAUUAGAAUAUAUGUUAAAUUGAAUGUUUAGUCCCUUAAAUAUAUUUUUUGUUCAAUUAUAGUCCCAUAAUUACUAAUCCUUAAAUUAUGGUCCCUGAUUUUUGCACUUGUCAUUCAACAUGGUCCUCUCCUUCAAUUUUUUUGUCUUUCUUCAUCUUCUUAGUCGUCUUUAUACAUCGAGACUAAAUAUGUAAUUUAAAAUUUAUUUUAUCUUUCUUCAUUUUGUUCCGUCGUAUUCAUCAUCAUCUUCAUUACACAAUCUCAAAAGGAGAAAAAAAAAAAUCAUCCCUUCAACUCAACUGUAAAACCCAUAAAUAUAAAAAAUCAUCUCUCACUUCUUCAUCUUCAAACCUAGAAUACAGCUUAAUUUUUACAAGAGUAGUAACACCCUUGUUAAAAAGAGUGUUACUUAAACCAACCACAAAGUGUGACUUACAAUUUUAAUAUUUCAAAUUCCUAGUUAAAAAAUAACUGUAUCUUGCAUCCACAAACUCUUGAAGAAAUAAUCAAACUCAAAGGACCAAACUUCCUCCUUACCUUCCUUGUGUUCCUAGGGAAAUGAGUCAUGUGACCAUGUCAGAGUCUGAAACUUGAGCUGGGGAAAUGCAUUUCUGCUCUUCAACUGAUUCAUUGGAUUUCUCCUCAAGCUGAAUCGUAANAAUCUAUUUAAGAAUUUAUAUUUUGUAGUGUGACAUGCCGUUUAAUGUGGAACUCUGAUUUUAUAAUUUAUAAUUAAAUUGAUUUUGGGAAACGGGGUGUUACAAAUUACCUGGUGUUGAACCCAAUAUAGAAAAAGCCUCUGAAGUAGCUUCUGAUGGAGUUACUUUAGAAAGCUCACAACAACAAGCACCAAACUCACAAAUGGCCAAGAAAAGUCAAUCUGUUCCUGAACAACAUGUUCCUGAACACAUCAUUGAUGAUCAACCUAAGUCUCACAAUUCUCUUAACCAAAUCAAUGAUACUGACUUUAUGAUCACAUCAGAUUCUUCUGAUGGUAGGGAUGAGCAAACUAACUCCUAGGUCAAACCUGGAUUUCUUAGUAAGUCAACAAGCUCAUAUUCUACUGUGGUCUUAAAUUUUGUUCCUGAUCAACCUUCUGAGACCACAACUCAUACACCUAACCCUAAACCUUCUACCACUAACCUUCUUUCAUUUUCAAACUUAGCUAUUCAAACUUGUGCUCCUGCCAAAACCACAAAUGUCCUUUCUCCACCCACCCUGUUUCUAGAUUCUACUAUACUAGCAAAUAUGUGUGAGAACAUAUUUAAGGACCUGAACAAGUUAGUUCAAGUAAGGAACAAUCUGGUUCAUGAAGAUAACUAUGAAAAGCAAUGGAGGAGGUUGAAAGAAAGAGUGGAUUUUGUCUUGACUGGACUUCAAAGAUCAUCUCUUGAUGCUCAAGACACUUCUCAGAACAAACUCCAAGACUGGCUAAGAGGGAUUGUUUGUAACUUGCAAGAAGUUGAAGUCAGAAGAACUCUUGUGAAGACACCUUUAUUCCUUAUGGUAUUCACUCUAUGGAGCUGGAUCUAGCUUGGUUAUCUAAAAUAAAUGUCAAGAAAGCCUCACCAUAUUUGUCUUUGUUGCAAAGGAAUGCUAAACUAGAGAGUGAAAACAAGCAGCUGAAGAAAGAGCUUCUAGAUAAGAAACUAUUGAUGCUUGUAUACAAGACAUCUACAGAAGCAAAGCUUGAAGAAGCAAGGAUUAGAGAAGAGAAUUUGUUAAGAAGCCAUA
rnacentral:lncRNA from 1 species